rnacentral:lncRNA from 1 species
GGAGAGAGCCACCGUUUUUAGUGAGAAAGAAGAGAAGAGAGAAAAAUGCAAGUUUUUCUCAUCAGGCCCAGAUUUCAUCAAAGGUCUGAUCCCACUUUGUCCGUGGUCCGAUCGAGCUGAAAUUUGGAGGAGAGUUUCGUGACUCAUUUAUCUUCAAUCUGAACGGUGAAGAUCGGAUUUGGAGUUUCGGAAAGUCAUUAGAAAGAAAGAGGAGAAGAGAGAAAAACGUAGGUUUUUCUCAUCAUGCCCAGAUUUUAUCAAAUGUCCGAUCCCGCUUCGUCCGUGGUCCGAUCGAGUUGAAAUUUGAAGGAGAGGUUUGUGGCUCAUGUAUCUUCAAUAUGAACGGUGGAGAUCUGAUUUGGAGUUUCGGACAGUCAUUAGAGAGAAAGAGGAGAAGAGAGAAAAACUUAGGUUUUUCUCAUCGUGCCCAGAUUUCAUCAAAUGUCUGAUCCCGCUUCGUCCGUGGUCCGAUCGAGUUGAAAUUUGAAGGAGAGGUUCGUGGCUCAUGUAUAUUCAAUAUGAACGGUGGAGAUCGGAUUUGGAGUUUUGGACAGUCAUUAGAGAGAAAGAGGAGAAGAGAGAAAAACAGUGGUUUUUUUAUAUCAUGCCCAGAUUUCAUCAAAGGUUCAAUGCCGCUUUUUUCAUGGUCUGAUUGAGCUGAAAUUUGGAGGAGAGGUUCAUAAGUCAUUAAUCUUAAAUUUGAACGGUGAAGAUCGGAUUUAGAGUUUUGGAAAGUCAUCUUUCAGCCAAAAACAAAACCUUUAUUUUAUCAAAGAUGGCGCUUCCUGAAAGUGUCAUUGUUGCCUAAGACAUACAAUGACAGAGGCGAAGAGGACGCUUUAGAGAAGCGUCAUCUGUUACCUUUCUUGACGCUUAAAAAACGUCAUAGUUUCCCAUUUUUCUUGUAGUGUAUUCUCUUUUGUAAGCUUCUGCCAAUUGAAUAAGCUUCAAGAGUUAGAUCUUUCUUACAACUUAUUCCAAGGGAUCCUUCCUCCAUGUUUGAAUAAUUUGACAUCUUUGAGGUUAUUGGAUCUCUCUUCCAACCUAUUCUCCGAAAAUCUUUCUUCCCCUCUGUUACCUAAUCUCACAUCCCUGGAGUACAUCGAUCUCAGUUACAAUCAUUUUGAGGGUUCAUUCUCUUUCAGCUCUUUUACUAAUCACUCCAACCUUCAAGUGGUCAAACUUGGAAGGAAUAACAACAAGUUUGAGGUAGAAACUGAAUAUCCAGUUGGUUGGGUUCCCCUGUUUCUGUUGAAAGCUCUUAUCCUAUCCAACUGUAAGCUCAUCGGUGAUCCUGGUUUCCUUCGACACCAAUUAAGAUUAACCGUGGUUGAUCUCUCCCAUAAUAAUUAGACUGGAAGUUUCCCCAUUUGGCUGCUUGAUAACAAUACAAGACUAGGAUCUCUAGUUCUGAGGAAUAACUCUUUAAUGGGUCAACUACUUCCCCUGAGACCUAAUAGUCGUAUCACUUUAUUGGAUAUCUCAGACAACCGACUUCAUGGGGAACUUCAACAAAAUGUGGCCAAUAUGAUUCCAAAUAUUGAGUUUCUAAAUUUAUCCAACAAUGGUUUUGAAGGUAUUCUCCCAUCCUCAAUAGCCGAAAUGAGUUCCUUACAGUCAUUAUAUUUGUCUGCUAAUAGUUUCUCAGGGGAAGUACCAAAACAAUUGCUUGCGGCAAAAUAUUUGUGGCUUCUGAAAUUAUCAAAUUAUAAAUUUCAUGGCGAAAUAUUUUCAAGGGACUUUAACUUGACUCAGUUAGGGUUUUUGCAUUUGGACAAUAAUCAGUUCAAGGGAACACUGUCAAAUGUAAUCUCCAGAAUCUCUAGGUUAUGGGUGUUGGAUAGGUAACAUGACCGAUUUGACUACACUGGUGUUGGGCAACAAUAGUUUUAAAGGCAAAUUACCACCUGAGAUUUCUCAAUUGUUGGGGAUGAUAUUUCUUGACGUUUCUCAAAACGCUCUUUUAGGAUCUCUUCCUUCUUUGAAGAGCCUGGAGUAUUUAGAUACCCAGAGAUUGAUACCCAGAGAUUUUCUCAAUUCCUCAUAUCUAUUGACUUUGGAUAUCAGAGACAACAGGUUAUUUGGAAGUAUUCCCUAUUCAAUCUCUAGACUUUUAGAGCUAAGAGGAAACCUUUUAAGUGAUUUCAUUCCAUAUCAGCUUUGUCAUUUGACUAAAAUAAGCUUGAUGGAUAUUUCAAACAACAAUUUUUCUGGGUCAAUUCCCGGAUGCUUUGGUCAUAUCGGAUUUGGAGAUUUCAAAACUGAGCACAAUGUGUAUAUACCGAUGUUGGAUUCGUAUUCAGAAAGCAAUCCUUCUAUAUAUACGGGUUACUUAAUAAAAUAUUUAUUUUUCUCUAGUGAACUCCCUGAUGAAGUAGAUGAAGUUGAGUUUGUUACCAAGAAUAGGUAUAGCUCCUACAGAGUAGAUAAAAAUAUUUGUUGGGAAUUUAGAUAUUUUUAUAGGAAAGUAGACAAGUAUUCUAAUUUAUAAAAACAAUGCAUUUCUUUAGUUUGGUAUAAAAAAAAAUGAAACGAUAGGUAUUGGUAUUUUUUUUAAAGCAACAAACGUUUUAUUUUAUUUGUAUUUAAGAACAAUGUCUUUUCUUAUACUAGUUAUUUUAAUUUUCUUUUGACAGAUUUUGCAAGCUUAAGCAAUUUGGAGAUACUAGAUUUGAGUUCUAAUUCCUUAAGUGGGAUUAUUCCAUCAUCUAUAAGAUUGAUGUCUCAUCUCAAGUCUUUAUCCUUGGCCGGAAAUCAGCUCAAUGGUUCUUUACAAAAUCAAGGUACAUAUGUUAUGAUUUGUUUGUUUCAUAUGGAUUAGAGAAGAUGAAUAUUGUAAAAAAAAAGUUGUAGUUAAUGUAAGCUAGAAAUAAGUAUCUUGCCUUAUAAAUUAUAUGAGCAUGUGUUUGUUCUUAAUGAAUCUUUACAACAUUUAGAGUUACCAAUGUUUAUAAUUCAUAAAGACCUCAUUAACCGUGAGUAACAACUAAUUGUAAGUAAUUGUGGAAAAAGUAAGGAAAACAAAAUGAGGGAAAAGCAAGGAAUUAGGAAAUUAUUUUGUUCCCAUUAAAAAAUGCUAAGGAAGAAAAAGGUAAAAGAAAGUUUAAAAAAAGUGUAUUUUUCAAAAAUUUAUUUCUCUUUCCUUUAAUUUUGCUAUGGACAACCAAACAAGAAAAUUAUUUUAUAAUUCCUUUUUUAUUUUUUUCAUUCUCUCUCUCUUUUUUCCCCUACUCUAUUUCUUUUCCCUCAAACUUUCUUGGUAGUAAACACAACCUAAGAUAAAAUGGGGAAGAAAAUUUUCAGUUUUUUUUUUAUUUUUUUAGAAUGUUUUCUUACUUUUUAGUAUUUUAUGCAAAUAUAGGAAAAUUAUUUUUUUUUCUUUUUUUUUCUUGCUCCUUUUCGGACAUGAAUCACACUUUAAAAGAAAAUUAAUUUUUAAUUAGGAGUUAAGAUAAAUUUAAGGAGAAACAGUGAAUCACGAAUAACAAAAAAAUAAGGAAAUUGAAUUUUUGAAAGUAAGUAUAAUCAAAUUGCUUCAUUUGAUACAAAAUUUGAAUAAAAAUUCUUUCAAGGAAAGGAAAAAACAUUUUUGUCUCUAGAUUAUAAUACUAAAUCAUGUAAAAAAUCUCUUAACAUCAUUUAUAUUCAUAUUUAUUUUUGUAGAUUUGAAAAAUUCAACAAUUUGGAAUAAACUUAUUCAAUGAAUAAUAAUUUUUAGAUUUAAAGAUUAUUAUUUAAGAUCAUAAAUAUUACCAUGAUUGUUGAUGUCUAAGAAGAUCAUAUUCAACAAUUUUUUUAAUAUGUUGUUUUUUUAUGGUAAUUAAUUGAUGUCUUGUAAUUUUUAAUAUUUAAUGAAAAACAUUAUUUUAAUUCAUCUAGAGCUCUUAAUUCAUGAAGACCUCAUUAAUGGUGAGUAAUAGUUGGCUGUAAGUUUGGAGUCAAAGACAUGUCAAGGAGAUGAUUAGUUACAUGUCUUAUUCUCUUUUGUAGGUUUCUGUCAAUUGAAUAAGCUUCAAGAGUUAGAUCUUUCUUACAACUUAUUCCAAGGGAUCCUUCCUCCAUGUUUGAAUAAUUUGACAUCUCUAAGGUUAUUGGAUCUCUCUGUCAACCUAUUCUCCGGAAAUCUUUCUUCUCCUUUAUUACCUAAUCUCACAUCCCUGGAGUACAUCGAUCUCAGUUACAAUCAGUUUGAGGGUUCAUUCUCUUUCAGCUCUUUUGCUAAUCACUCAAAGCUUCAAAUGGUCAAACUUGGAAUGAAUAACAACAAAUUUGAGGUAGAAACUGAAUAUCCAAUUGGUUGGGUUCCCUUGUUUCAAUUGAAGGCUCUUUCGCUAGACAGCUGUAAGCUCACCGGCGACCUUCCUAGUUUUCUUCAAUACCAAUUCAGGUUAGUGGGGGUUGAUCUCUCACAUAAUAACUUGACAGGAAGUUUUCCCAAUUGGCUGCUUGAAAACAAUACGAGACUAAAAUCUCUAGUUCUGAGGAAUAACUCUUUAAUGGGUCAAUUACUUCCCUUGGAACGUAAUACCCGUAUCCAUUCAUUGGAUAUCUCACACAAUCAGUUGGAUGGACAACUUCAAGAAAAUGUGGCCCAUAUGAUUCCAAAUAUGAAAUAUCUAAAUUUAUCCGACAAUGGUUUUGAGGGUAUUCUCCCAUCCUCAAUAGUUGAACUAAGAGCCUUAUGGUAUUUGGAUUUGUCUACCAAUAAUUUCUCUGGAGAAGUACCAAAGCAAUUGCUUGCAGCAAAAGAUUUGGGGGUUUUGAAAUUAUCAAAUAAUAAAUUUCAUGGUGAAAUAUUUUCAAGGGACUUUAACUUGAUUAGGUUGGAAGUUUUGUAUUUGGGCAAUAAUCAGUUGACGGGAACUCUGUCAAAUGUAAUCUCUAAAAGCUCUUGGUUGGGGGUGUUGGAUGUGAGCAACAACUACAUGUCAGGUGAAAUUCCAAGCCAGAUAGGUAACAUGACCUAUUUGACUACACUGGUGUUGGGCAACAAUAGUUUUAAAGGCAAAUUACCACCCGAGAUUUCUCAAUUGUGGGGUUUGGAGUUUCUUGACGUUUCUCAAAAUGCUCUUUCAGGAUCUCUUCCUUGUUUGAAGACCAUGGAGAGUUUAAAGCAUCUACAUUUGCAAGGGAACAUGUUUACAGGAUUAAUACCCAGAGAUUUUCUCAAUUCCUCACAUUUAUUGACUUUGGAUAUGCGAGAUAACAGGUUAUUUGGAAGUAUUCCCAAUUCAAUCUCUGCACUUUUGAAGCAGCUAAGGAUUUUUUUGCUGGGAGGAAACCUUUUAAGUGGUUUUAUUCCAAAUCAUCUUUGUCAUUUGACUGAAAUAAGCUUGAUGGAUCUUUCAAACAACUCUUUUUCAGGGCCAAUUCCCAAAUGCUUUGGCCAUAUCCGAUUUGGGGAGAUGAAAAAGGAAGACAACGUGUUUGGACAGUUCAUUGAAAUUAGGUAUGGAAUGGAUUCUCAUCUUGUAUAUGCAGGUUACUUGGUGAAAUAUUGGGAGGACUUAAGUUCAGUAUAUAAGGGAAAAGAUGAAGUUGAGUUUGUGACCAAGAACAGGCGUGACUUCUACAGAGGUGGCAUCCUUGAAUUCAUGUCUGGAUUGGACUUAUCAUGUAACAACUUGACAGGCGAAAUACCUCAUGAACUUGGAAUGCUAAGUUGGAUUCGUGCAUUGAACUUGUCUCACAAUCAAUUGAAUGGCUCCAUUCCAAAGAGUUUCUCCGAUCUUUCUCAAAUAGAGAGCUUAGACCUUUCUUAUAAUAAAUUGGGUGGAGAAAUUCCUCUAGAGCUAGUUGAACUCAAUUUUUUAGCGGUGUUUAGUGUGGCUUACAACAACAUCUCUGGUAGAGUUCCAAAUGCCAAAGCACAAUUUGCAACAUUUGAUGAAAGCAGCUAUGAAGGUAAUCCUUUCCUUUGUGGGGAACUAUUAAAGAGGAAAUGCAACACAAGUAUUGAGUCACCAUGCGCACCAUCACAGUCUUUUGAAAGUGAGACAAAAUGGUAUGAUAUCAAUCAUGUUGUUUUCUUUGCAAGUUUUACUACUUCAUAUAUCAUGAUCUUGUUAGGAUUUGUUACCAUCCUUUACAUCAAUCCUUAUUGGCGUCAUAGAUGGUUCAAUUUUAUUGAGGAAUGUGUAUAUUCCUGCUAUUAUUUUGUUUUUGAUAGUCUUUCCAAGUUCUCAGCAUAUUUGUAUAAUUAGAUACUUUUAAUUGGAUGAUGUUUGCAUAAUUAACUACUAUUUGUUUCCAUGGGAUAAAAAGAAAUGGGAUUAUAAUUGCUAUGAGUUGAAACUUACAUACUUUGCUCAAAUUCUAACAUCUUUUGAUUUUAUUUUCAAGUUCCGUUAUUUAUUAUGUAUUGUUUAAUUCAAGAUUUAACCAUAUUAUGCUACUCUUAUAAAAACAAAUUCAAAUUUUUAGGAACUUAGCAUUAAAAUAAUUUCAUAGUCAGAUUUUUAAAAAUAAAGAAGAAAGAAAAUAAUAAAUAAUUAGAAAAACAAUUCAAGGGAGUAUUAAAUUAUUAUCUUAGAAUUGUUUGGCGUAGUAUGGGAAUUCAAAAAUAAUCUUUCAAUUUGUUAGAAAUGUUUAUUUAUUUAUUAUAGCAAUGAUUGAAAUAUCAAUCACAAAGUAAUGUUUUCUUUUCUUUUGUAGGGCACUAACAUUUUUUCUUUGAUUGUAAUAAUUGAUAAAUAUAUUACACAAUUAUUUGUUUUAAAGAGGGGAGGGAUGACAAACAUAAUAACAUGUGAAAUAUUUCUAAAACUGUGAUGGGAAAUAAACCAUCUAAUUAGGGUGCAAUAUUAUUCAUUUUAAUUUAUAUGAAUUUACUUAUUUUUAUUUCCAUCAUAUUUUGAACUAUUUUUUGAAAUUAAGGGAGAUUAAAACAUCAUGAAUUUCUUAGUUUAAUUUAUAUUUUUAAUAAUAAAGCAUGAAAUAUUUAAAAAAAAAAAAGAAAAUCAUGAAUUUCUUUAAUUCCUUAGGAAACCAAUAUAUAAAAAAAGUUGAAUAUAUUAUUAUUUUAUAUCCUAAAUUUCUAAAUUUGUUCAUCACGUAUUUAUUUUUAUAUUAAAUUUAUUAUCAAUAAUUAUUUAUUAUAUAUUAUUAUUUUAUAUUUAAAAAUGUUCAUAAAUAAUUAAAAUUAAUAAAUAUAAAAAAUGAAAUAUUAAAAAAUUAAAUUAAAAAGAUUUCAUCAAGCUAACAUAUUUUGAUAAAAAAAAAAAGAGUAAAAAAGAAGAUGGGGAUAUUAUAGAGGUGGGGAAAAAGAUAAAAGAAAAAUCAUGUGGUAUAAUAAUUGCCACGUGUUAAAGUUAUUUUCUUUAAAAAUUAAUUAUAGUAAUGAUGAACUCAUUUGUCUUAUCAAAGUAAAUAAAAAUAAAUAAAUAAAAGAAAAAAAGAAAAAGAAAAAAAGUGGUGGUUGAUUGGAGGUUAGAGAGGAGGGUUUGAAGGUAAAUUUGGAAUAUUGAUUAUUUUCACUAAGUAGAUAUUUUGAAAGUUAUUUUCAAUGUUUUAAAAACCGGACCGGCCGGUCCGACCGGUCCAACCGUCGACCGGUCACCAUUCCGGUCCGAUCCGGUCAUUUGGACCGGAUUGAGAUCGAACCGGAGUUGAACCGCUCGAACCAGCGGUUCAACCGCUGAACCGGACAAACCGAUCGGUUCCAAGGGAACCGGCCAAUUCAAAUAAUUUUAAUUUUAAAAAAAAAAUUACACAAUAAAAAUAUUACUGUGGGUAAGCUGCAAGCAUGAAAGGUAGGAUUCCAUGUUGGGCCUGUCUUGUGACAAGCCCACACACCCACUCCAAUUACCCUGGGCCUCUUUUUUGAGCCCACAAGAUCAUGCCAAGGCUUUGCUGAGGAUGGCUUUUAUAGGAGUCAUUUGACUCCUUGUUCCUCUCAUAUUCCGAUGUGGGAUUGCAUUUUAUCAAUGAAAAAAAACAUAACAAACAUAACAAAACUCCACCAACAGAAUUUGAACCUUGGACCAAUCUUUAACUCUAGUCCACCUAGGAAACCACUCGGCUACAUGUGUUUUAUCAUCUAAUGUGCCAAACAAAAUAAUAUAUAUUAGAUUUUAAAUUUUUUUAUAAUAUUAAAUAAAAAUAAUAUAAUAUUUUUAAAAAUUAUGAAAUUAGUUUAAAUUUUCAUUUUUUUUAUAUUCACAUUUAAAUAUUAUACAUAUUUCAUUUAAUAAAAUUUAAAAUAUUAAUAUGAUUUAAUUUGAUAAUAUCAAAGAUAUAAAAUAAUAUUAUUGAUGUUUAAUUUAUUCAUAUAUAUUUUAAAAUUUUUUAUAAUUAUUUUUAAUUUUAAUAAUAUAUAAAUUAUAUAUUUAUUACGUCACCGGUUCGAUAGCGGUUCGACCGCCGGUCCGACCAGUGAACCGUGAACCGGUAACUUUUCCAGUUCGAUCACCGGUCCGAUUCUGAAAACAUUGGUUAUUUUGCCUGAAACCCAUAUUGUUUGAAAAUAAAAAAUCAAAGUUUUAAAAAAAUACAAUUUUUUUGAAAUGAUGCAUGAUUAUAUCAUUCCCCUAAUAGAUUAUUUAUUCCUUUAAACUUUACUUCAAAUAAAAUAGUUUUAAUUAUUUUCUUUUUGGAAUUAUAUUUAACAUAUUAUUAAAAAUAUAAAAAACAUUUUAAUAAUAUUGUUAAUGAGUUUAUAUAUAUAUAUAUAUAUUGUAAAAUAAUUAAAUUUAAAAAUAUUUAAAUUUAGUUAUGGGCUGCCCAUUUCAAAAUAAUAAGAAUCUCGUAACCUAAUUUUUCCAAAUUCCAGGUAAAUAUGCUAAUCUAAAAAUAAAAAAUAAAAAUUAGGUUUUUAUGCUCUCCAAUCUACCACUUAAGCAUCCGACAUGGCUAAAAUAAAUUACAAAAAAAAAAAAAAAAAAAAAAGGAAAAAAAACAAAAGUGUGUGAUCCUCUUUCUCGAGUCUUCACAUUUUGAGACACUGAAACCAAAUCAAAAUUAAUCCUUCAAAUUAAUUUUCACCUCCAAACAUGGCUAUCCGAAAAACCCUAACGUCUGCCUCCUCUUCCUCUUAUCCCGGAAACCUAAAUUCCGUGACCCUAACCCCUUCUCUUUCCGAAAACCCUCCGGAAUCGGAAGAUUCAUAAUUCUUCAGAAUUAAUUUUCACCUCGAAGCCAAACCCUAACUGCCUCAUCUUCCUCUCAUUCAUAUCCCAAAAGUAGCUUCAACAGUCAGGCCUGUAGCCAUGAAAGCCGUAGUGAUCACUACUUCCGGUGAUCCCCAAGUUCUCCAAGUGCAAGAAGUCGAAAACCCUGAAAUUGGAGAUGAUGAAGUUCUAAGUAGAGUGGACGCCGCUGCCAUUAACCGAACAGAUACGCUCCAGAGGAAGGGCUUGCACCCUUCCUCAAAGGCGGCAGUCCCUACCCGGGUCUCGAAUGUUCUGGAAUCAUCGAAGCUGUUGGAAAAGCCGUCGUUCGAUGGAAGGUUGGCGAUCAGGUAUUUCAAUUGCCUAAUAUUUUGAUUUCGUUUCUGUUCCUCUGUUUUUCUCGGCUAUCAAACACUAGGAACGUGUAAAUAAGGAGGUUAGUUGAUUGCGAAAACGGGAAUUUUUUGUUCGUGUCUGUGUUAAGGAGUCUUUGUUGAGAAUUUUGGGGAAAUUUAUGAUAGGUUAAAUUAUUGAGCUUAUUGGUUUUCAAAUUUAUGGUUGUAAGAAAAUUGGUCAGUGUAAGGUUAUGGGUUCAUUACCAAUUUGCUUAGUGAAAAUUUUUCCACAUAUUGUGGACCGGUUUGGUAGCAGAAAUAAGAACUGUGUUUUGUUUUUCAAAACGGAAAUGGAUGCAGAAAACAUGUUUGGUAGCCUACUUUCAGAACUUGUUUCCGAAAAUAUUUCCUGAAAAUGAAUUAUUUCAGAACUUGUUUUUAAAAAAUUCAAACACUUUAUCAAUUUAAAAGGUUCUGAAAUGGACAUGUUCAUGGUCUUCAUUUUUUAAAAUUAAAGCUUUUAUGAAAAAACCAUUUUCCCUUCUACUAAACAAACAGGCUCUAUAUUGUAACAGAUCGAUUGGCCAUUUCCUUUGUCAUGUUUUGUGAAUCAUGGCAACACUGGAAUCCACUCCAUUACCAUCUGUUAGUGAUUAGAAGACAAAGCACCAAUUUUAAUGAUAUCCUUUAUGUGAUUUUGCUUCCUCCUGAGUACAAGUUCAUAAUAUACAUGGUACAUGGUGAAUCUGUAUGACAGUUCAUGGUAUACAGGUGUGUGCUCUUCUUUCUGGUGGAGGGCAUGCUGAAAAAGUGGCUGUUCCAGCUGGGCAAGUUCUCCCUGUCCUAUCUGGUGUUUCUCUGAAGGAUGCUGCUGAGGUUGCAUGUACUGUUUGGUCAACUGUUUUAAUGAUGAGCCGACUGUCUGCAGGAGAAACAUUCCUGGUGAAUUUUUUGUCUUUUUUAUUUUCUGAUGCCUGAUAUAUUUACCAGCACAAAUUUACCCUGUUGCUGUUUAAUGUGUGUGCAUCAAUAUUGGAUUAGGGAGGUAGAAGAGCCAUGGUUCUAAUUAAAUCAUUACAUCAUCAUAUUCUUAUUUAGAUACAUUGUAUCCCACAAUUUCAUUGCAUCCAAGGCUAUGUUGUUUUUUAUUGCACGGUUUGUCAUGGUAAUUUCUCAACCCUUCUCUGGAAAAUUAUGUUGGAUGGCUGCUAUUAAUUACCCCAAAAGAAGAAAUUUUAUGUUGAAGUAAGAUGAGUAGCACAAAGAGUUACUUGUGGUUGAUCCUAUCAUCAAAUGGGCGAUUGAUGCACAAUCCAAAUGGUAAAUUUUUUUCCCCCUUUAUCCAGAUGGAAUUUUUAUGCAUGGUUGAAUAGUGAAAUGAGAGGACUGAUAAUAUUUCAGGUUCAUGGGGGUUCAAUUGGAAUUGGUACCAUCUAUUCAAAUAGCGAAAUACCGAGGAGCAAGGGUAUUUGUUACAGCAGGUUUGCCAUCACUGUUCUACCUCAUCUCACAGAAUGCUUAUCUCAUGGCACCAAUUCCUUUUCUUCACAUGUUUUCAACCAUUUUUUCCACCCAGGAACGAGGAAAAAUUAGCUAUUUGUAAGGAUCAUUGAGCAGAUGUGUGCAUCAAUUACAAGACUGAAAACUUUGUUGCAUGGGUGAAGGAGGAAACAGGAGGGAAAGGUAUAUUCUAUUGUAUCUUAACGAUAAUUUCAAUUGAAGGUGGAAUUGCUUUUUAUUUUUUAGUGCACCAAAUCCACUAGUCUGGAAUGUUUGAAAAGAUAAAUAGUCAUCUUCCACUUGAUUCCGAUUGUGAAGAUCUAACCCCAAAAAUGUUGAAUGACAGGUGUUGAUGUUAUACUGGAUAAUAUUGGAGGGGCCUACUUUUGGGGAGACAUCAAUGGUUUAAAUGUUGAUGGAAGGCUUUUUAUUAUUGGUUUUCAGGGUGGAACAGUGGUACAAGUAAAUCUUUCAGGUUUACUUGCAAGGCGCCUUACAGUGCAAGGUACUGCUUUCUCUGUAGAAGAUUUUUCUGUAGUUUUGGAGUUGAAUCAAUUUGAUUAAUCUCAUCCAAGUUCAGAACUGAGGUGGAUUCUGGCAAGCCAAGGAAAAACCAAAUUACCAUAAAUUCUUUUUUUUUUUUCUGGAUCGUUUUACUUCUUGGAAAUCCUGUUUCUCGAUCUGUUAAUCACAUGGUUUGUUUUUCUUUAUUGUCCCUCUUUCUUUUCUUGUUGGUACCAAAUCCCUAAGAUGUGGAAGCCAAGUGAGCACUUUCUAUCUUUUCUUGUUUCAAUCUCUCAUCCUCUUGUGCACAUUGAGCAAUAAGCUCAUUCAAAGUCCAUUUUUCCUUUUGUGUGUUGUAACUGAUUUUGAAUGGACUGAAUUGUGUAGGCAGAGAGAUCAAGACCAAGUGCACGAGUAUGUCUUCCGAAAACUCUAACUUUAGUGCCUUUAGUCUAGUCACAAGAUUAGACAUUUCCAUAAUAUACUCCCUUAUAUUCUCUUUCCCUUUAUACCGCAUAGAGACAAGCUUACUAAGAAUAGUGUUUGUCUCAACCUUUUCAUUUGCAGCGAUCAAUUUGCUAUCUGGUCUAAGAAUGCCUUGGCUCGAGUUUUCUCAGGUAUUGCACCCCUUAUAACUUUUGGAAUUGAGUGCUUCGUUAUUAUUAGACUCAUGCGAUUGGAUCGCUCCCAUUUUUCCAUAGUAGACCUUUGCUCAGCAGUGCUGGCACUAGUAAGAUCUGGAGGGCGAUCCUCUCUUAAUGCAUAGUCUAAAUCCAUGCACCCGAGCACAAUUAUAGCGUGUUCCUUCCAUUUCUUGAAGUUUGUGCCAUUAAGGGCAGGAAUGUUAUUGACAUUUGCAGAUAUAGAAUAUGUUGAAUUCAUAAUAAUAAAGCUCACAAUCAGCCACAUAAACAUCAUACAUACAUGAAAAAUAACAUCAUACAAGAUACCUAGUACAAACAUUAAUAUUCUGUCUUUUGACAAUAAAUAUUAACUUGUAAUUGGUAUCCUUAUACAAAAUUAAUUCAUAAAUAUUGACAAUAAAACCAAAAACAAUGUGCCUCUCUUUGGACUAACAUAUUGAAUGCAAGAUAAACUUUAUAUGUCACAUAUUUAUGACUACUUUAUUUAUUAUUAUAUUAAAAUAAUCUUUCUUUGGGUCGCUUAUUUUAAAUAAUAAUAAUAACAUGUUUAGAUAUUAUAAAAUAAAUAAAUUAUAUAAUAUAAGUUACUUUGGCAACUAACAUACAUAAUUCAUUUAUUUUUUGUUGUUUCCUUCCUCUUGGAUCUUUUGUUUGUGUUUUAAAAAAAAAAAUGUUUCAGUGAAAAUGGGAAAUGCAACCAGGCUCUAAUACCAUUUUGUGGGACGUUCAUUCUCCAUUAUCAUCGAACACAUGCAGGAUAUAUUUAUAUAUAUCUAUCAAUUCAUUCAAAAUAUGCCGAUGGGAAGCCAGAGAGAACAAGUUCUAUUUUUAUUUUGAAAACAUUGUUAUCCUUAAAGAACAAACACUAUUAUUUGGAUUUAUACUCUCCUGCCUUAGGGACCAUACCCUUUGGCUAUUAGGCCUCACGAGUCUUAGGCCCAUCAUCUAAGGCUCGUGAUGGCACUGGGCUCUACAUAUAAGGUGGCCCAUACUCUGGAACGAAUAUAAAUCAUAUGUAUAUAUAUGGAUAGCUAAAUCCUGAAUAAUGGUUAAUAUGAUGUCGGUUCACAUUUAUUAUAUCAUAUAGACUUCCCAUCUGAAGAAAAUCGACAACAAGUAGCUUUGCCAUUCUUAGUUCGUAUACAACCAACCUUAGCAAGGGUUGAACCCUUUUAUGCUUAGUUGUGCCAUACAGAUCCUUACCACCGCCUACAACAUGUAAUUGAAAUGAUUCGAUAAUAUCAUCUAGUGAACCAAUACCUCCAAAUGAGAGACCAUUGCCUCAGUAACUAAGACUCACGACUGAGAAUUGCGUGAACCCCUUUGCUUGGGUUGGAGCUUGACUGAUGCACAAAAUAUUCAUAGGCCUCUUCCCAUAACAGGCACCUUGUGUUUGCAACAUAAUUGAACAUGUAUUGAAGUGAGUUUUUUUGCAUCUUUUUGUAAGAAAAUUCUAAACAACAAAGAUUGCUUAGUGUGCCUGACUCCUCAAGGAAUCAAGGUUCAUUCCUGUAGGGCCAGUUUUUUCACAGUCGAACUAGAUAACAUGGAGAGUAUGUUGCAAUGCUUCAACGGGGUAUUUCUUAGGAAAAUCCACCUGAAGCUGGUACAAUUCGUUGGCGUACUGAGUUCCUAAAGCUCUAUUGACUUCAAUCACCCAUCUCUGUAGAUUAUCGGUGACUUUAUGCUCGGAUCCUGUAGGAGGAUUGACUUGACAUUCCACUAGUUUUUUCUGGAAGGCGAUUUUGUUUAACACCUUGUGAGAAGAGGCAGGGGAACUGGUCAUUGUUUCUUCGAGAAGAUCAGUGGCCGAGGAUGGGUUUGGACCAGAAUUGCUAUAUGGGUUUUCUUUGGGUGAACCAAUUAGUGAAAUAGGUGGCUAUAUAGCAACUAAAGGGUGGUCAUACUAACGAGGAGCUAUUAUUUCAUGCAUGUGGAGAGGAAAUGACUAGCUUCUUCAAGGAUAUAUGAUUAUUCAUCUCUAGCUUACGUUGACUAUCUCCUAACAAAUUUCUGCUUUGAAGCUCCCUUAGUUUCACUACAGCUAAUUGGCCAACUUGGUUUCAUCAUGUUUCCUACAACCUCUAAGCAAAGCAUGCCAGAUCACCGAAUCAGGUUCUAUUCGCAUUUUGUCCAUAAACUCCUUUGCCUAUUGACAAUAGACUGCCCCUCAAAAUUUGAUGAGAUAACAUCAACGCUGACAUGUUGGCCAUCCCCAUAAGCAUCUUUAUAGAGAUUGAUUCUAUGUUUAGAUAUUUCUCUCUCCUCAAGUGAGUUCAACUUUUCUGUAGCAUCCUUCUCCUUCUCUACUAAUAGUCUUAGUUGAACAUCCAACCUAUGUUCCCAAAGUGCCAGCAUCUCAUAUCUGAUGACAAGCCAACAACCUUGCCCUUGCUGAGACCCAAAUAAGUAUCCAGAACCAUCAACAUCAACCCUUUCAUAGGCCUUUGUAUUUGAAGGUCGGAUUGGGAUUGCUUUGAAUGCACUGGCACUACAAUACACAAUUGUUUCUUCUCCGAUAAAAACACCACAAAGAGGUGAGGGGACUGGUAUUAGCAAAGAAGUGUUGUUAUCUAUAUUGUUCUAAGCCCGAUUACCCUCAACAAAAUCCUCAUCCUCAUCUGUACUCUUCCAUUACAUCCCUAGGCUUUUCAAUGUGAUCCACAUGGCUUACAGGAAUCCAGAAAUACUGAUCUGUAUAAAAGUUGCUCUUAUGGGGCUCUCCUAGAAAACAUCCCAAUCAAGAUGAUCAACCUAGCUUAGAUGCUCAGCACCCCAAACUUACCAGAAAUAGAGGAAUAAAAAGCAAGGAUAGGAGCCAAAGUAAAAACUAAGGGAAGAGCAAAUAGGAAAUCAAGCAAAACAUGAAUGUACAGAGCCUCAUUUCAGGUGACAUCUUUGGGCUAAUAAUAGGUGGAAUUAACAAAGUAGAUAAGCAUGAUUGUUAUAAAUAUCAAGUUCAAGGAUGAAGUCGUGCAUCAGCUACUUAUAGGGGGAGUCAAGGAAACCAAGAUAAGAUCAAAGAGAGCAUGUAUGCAAAUAAACAGAUACGACAAAAUAGACCAAACAACUCGUGAAUAUCCUCCUACAAAAAACUACUACACGUGGCAAAAAGUGAUGAAACAAAAAGAGUUGGGUCCGCAUAUACAUAUCCUAUUCUAUCCUAUUCCUUCAAAUCCAAAGCAACCUGUAUUUUCAAUGGGAUUUGUUGUGAUGAAUUUUACUGGAUUGUAACAUGUAAAUAUGUUAAAAGAGGCUUGGGACAUUCCUAUAUAGUAACGCAUAAAGGUACUUCCAUUGUGAAGUUGUCAAAAUUGCAAAUUUAAAUUACAAAAUUUGAAAACAUAGAGAUGAAAGAUGAUGAAACCUUCUUUGAAAUUUUAUAUUGAACUCAUUAAUAUUAUUAAUUUUCAUUUCAGUCUAGGGGAAAGAAUUCUUUACUCUAAAGUGGUCACAAAAAUAUUAAAAUUCCUUGUCGAGAGAUUUAGACCUAAAGUGAUCAAUAUAGAAGAAAGUAAAAAUAUUCUAAGUGUAGGUAAACUUGUAGACUCAAAUGACUCUACCUUCUCAUAAAAAAUCCUCAAUUUUAUAAAUUAUAUUGAUUUCUUCAUUUGAUACAAAAUUUGAAUAAAGAUUUUUCAAAUGACAACACAAGGAAAGGGAAAAAAAAAUUCUCUCCAAAUCAUAUUAUUUAAUCACUUAAAUUAUUUAAAAAUAAAAAUGUUUACUGCUAACAUUAUUUAGGUUCAUCUUUCUUUUGAUGGAGGUUAAAAUUCAUAAUUUUGAGGAAAAAGAUGAGGAUUCUCAUUUUUUUUCCAUAUAUGAAUGGGAUUCUCAUUGUGUAUAUGUGGGUUACUAAAUGGCAAAUUUGGGGGCCACCAGAGUCUGCAAUAUGAGGGAAAAAUGAAGUUGAGUUUGUCACCAAGAAUAGACAUGGUUCCUACAAAGGUGGCAUCUUUAAUUUCAUGUUUGGAUUGGACUUGUCAUGUAACAACUUAACAAGUGAAAUCCCUCAUGAACUUGGAAUGUUAAGUUUGAUUCAUGCAUUGAACUUGUCUCGUAAUCAACUAAAAGGCUCCAUUUCAAAGAGUUUUUGCAAUCUUUCUCAAAUAGAGAGCUUAGACCUUUUUAAUAAUAAACUAAGUGGAGAAAUUCCUCCAAAAUUGGUUAGACUAAACUUUUUAGCAGUGUUCAAUGUGACUCACAAUAGCAUCUUCGGAAGAGUUUUAGAUAUGAAUACAUAAUUUGCAAAAUUUGAUGAAAGUAACUAUGAAGCUAAUCCUUUCCUUUGUGGACCACCAUUAAAGAGAAAAUGUAGCAUAAAUGUUGUUGAACCACCUUACCAACCAUUAGAGUCUUCGGAAGAAAGUGAUGCAAAAUGGUAUAAUAUCAAUCUUGUUAUUUUCUUUGCAAAUUUUACUACAUCAUAUAUCAUGAUAUUAUUAGGAAUUUCAACCAUUCUUUACAUUAACCCUUAUUGGUGUCAAAGAUGGUUCAAUUUUAUCGAGAAAUAUAUAUACUUUUGCUAUUAUUUUGUUUCCUAUACUCUUUCCAAGUUAUUAACAUAUUUUGAAUAAUUAGAGAUUUUUGUUUUCAAUAAUAUUUACAUAAUUAACUACUAUUGGCUUCCAUGACAUGGAAAGAAAUGCGAUGAAGGCAACAACCACUUUUUUUUCUCCUCUACUAGUGCAUGAUUGAUAUGAGUUAAAACUUGCACCCUUAUCUUUGCUUAAAUUUUCUCAGCUUUUGUUUCAAUUCUUAAUUAUCAUUUCUUUUAUGUAUUGUUUAAUACAAUAUCCUAAACACAUUGCUUUGAAGGUUACUUAUUUAUUAAGCAUGAUAUUGAUUUUCAUAAAAACAAAUUCAAGUUUUUUAGGAAUUUUUAGAAUUAUUAUAAUUUGGAGUUCACAUUAGAGGAAAAAAGGAAAGAAAAGAAUAGAUGAUUAAAAAAACAAUUUUAGUAAGUAUAAUUUGUCAUCUUCGGUAUAACAAAUGGGAAUUCCAAAAUAAUAUUUCAAUUUGUUAGUCUAUUCCUUAUAGUAUUAAUUGAUAUAUCAAAUAGGAAGUCACGUUUUGAUUUUUUAUUAGCUUGAAUUGCAUGUCACAUAUAUUUUAAAAUCAAGCAUACAUCAGCCGGGAAGUUCUUGUAACAUGCAUGAACAUGAUAUGAUGAAUUGAAUAAUUUUCUUAAUAUAUGUGUAUAUACUACACAUUAUUAAAUCAUAUAUGUAUAUUUAUAGUCGUAUAAUAUAUUUAUAUAAGUAACAAUAAAUUAUAUUGUAUAAGGUAUCGGUAGGAGUUUUCAAUUCCCUCAUACAAUAAUAUCUAUCAAUAAUUGGAUUGGACACCUUGCUGGCCAUGAGAAUGGACUUGACAUUAACACAUAGCCUUGAGUGGUGUUGAUAUUAUUACUUUGAACCAGAACUGCAGUCAUCUCAAAAACUAUAUUAUAUAGAAAAGCAAAAUAAAAACAUUAGUUAAAACAAAUGUCAAGAUCCUUGAAAUCACGUUUCAAUAUGUUAAAUUACCAUUUUUUUAAAUAAAUAUUUUAUAGGUUGUGUGAAUAAAUAUAAUUGCUAUGAAGGUUUCAAUUUAAUUUUACUAGCAAAUCCAUAAUAGGUGAAAAGACAAAACUACCAUUUUUGUUUUUUUUUCUUUAUUUACCUUUUUUCUCUCGUAACCUUACUCCUUUCACCUUUUUGUUUUUUCCUUUUUCUCAACUAACUAUUUUUUUCUUGUAAUUGUUAUUAUCAUUUUUUAUUAUAAAUAUUAUAACCUUAUAUUAUAAAUUUUUAAUUAUAUUUAAACUAACUAAUGUUGUGGUUUUAAUUGACAUGGAAAAGAAUGUGGUUAUACAUGUGAUUGUCGCCUUUUUUUUUUUCCAAUUAGUUAACUAUUGAUACAAGUUAAAAGUAAAAAUUGCAAUAUUAUCUUUAUGUCAAUUUCACCGAUCUUUUGUUUUUAUUUUCAUGUAUCAUUCCUUUUUUGGUUAUUUAAUUAAAAGGAUUAAAAAAAAAAAAUCACAUAUUCACAAGAAUAACCUUCAUAUUUUAAAAACAUAAAUUUUUAUAAAAAUACCCUCCAACUAUAAUUUUUAUAUGUCCCUAUUUCAAAUUCAAACACUUCUUUUAAUAAUAAUAAUAAUAAAAAAGGGCAAAAAUGUCAAACUGGGAUUAUAUUUAUAAUUUUCAAUAAUUAGAGGUUGUUUUUCCAAAGUAAAAAUUAUUUUGUUCCUUUGGCACAAAUAUUUCUUUCUUUUUUGUAUUUUUUUAUUCAAAAUAUUAAACACAUUACCCUCAAGGUUACUAUUUAUUAUGAAUGGUGUUUACUUUACAUUACGACAAAUUCAAAUUUUUUAGAAUUUUUUAAUGUUAAAAUAAUUUGGAGCUUAAUAGGGAAAAAAAGAAUAAAUAAUUAGAAAAGCAAUUCAAAAAAAUAAAAUUUAUCCUCUUAAAUUGGUUUUGUGUAAUACUAUAGAAGCCAUUUCUUGAGUUUGAUAUGGUAGAAUUUGGAUUCAUAUUUAUUUUAAAAUCAAGAAAUUCAAGUGUUGGUAGCAUCAAUAGAAUCUUAAAAAAUUUGCAAAAAAAUAUUUAGGUAGAUCACAUUUAAAUAUAACUAAUAGAAUAAAAAAUUAGUAUUAUUAGGAAGACAUGAUCAAUUAAAUCUUUUUUCUUAUCUAUGACACCGACUUUAUUUUUUUACAUAGUCAAUAUAAUUUAUUACAACUUAUAUGUCAUUAAAUUAUACAUGUUUAUAUUAAAUAUAAUAUAAGAUCAUUAAUGGAAUAAUUAUGCAAGUAAUAUAAAUUGUAUAUAAUAUAAAAAAUUUAAAGUCCAUCAAACUAAUGGAAUCUAUUAUAAUAAGUAGACUAGACACCAUGUUGGCCCGAGUUGGAGGCCUAGGCCAGAUUUUAAAGGCUGGGCUUUGAGUUGCCCGUGGGCCUGAGCCAAGGCCUUCUCUUGGUAUCAUCAUUUUGAAGAAAUAAAUUGCUGAUACAGAGAAAAAAACUAUACUAAAUAGAAAAAUAAAUAAAAGCAUUGACUAAAAUGAAGGCCAAGGUCCUUGAAAAAUAAUCUUAAAAUUGUUGCAUAUAUAAUUUCAAUAAUGCAUAAAUAAUUGCAAUAUAUAUGAUGUGAUAAAGAAUUUGGAAUUAAAAGAAGAUUGAUCUAUUUUAAAUGUGGUUGGAAUAUUUCUAAAUUUGUGAUGGGAAGUUAGACAGCCAAUUAGGGAUCCAUAUUAUUUAUUUUCAAUGAUAUGAAUUUAUUUACUUUUAUUAAUAUUCUUAAUGCAACAAUAUAAAAUAUGUCAAUUUUCUAAAAUUAAAAAAGUAAUUGUAAAAGAAAAUUUUUAAUUAUUUUUAUGAAAUUGAGUUUAUUAUAGCAUUUUUCUUUACAUAAAUUUCUUUUUUAUUUUUAUUUUUUUAAAAAUGAGAUAUGAAAAAAAAAGAUCAAUAUUAGUAAAAGUAAAACCCAAUAUAUAAAAAAUAUGAAUAAAUGUUUAUGAAAUAAGAUUUAAAAGUGAGAAGGUAAUAAUUUUUUUCUCUUUUAAUUCCUAUUCAAUUCAUUACAAAAAAUAUUUUUGGUUUUUAUGCUAAAAUUUAUUGUUUAUUAAAAAAUUCUAGUAUAUCUAGCUAUCAUAGAAGAGCUCCAAAAUUUUAUUGUUUAAGAGAAUAUGUGUUGCCACUUUAAAAGAUUUAUAUGCAAAAGGGAUUGAUAUUUUUUUCCUUUGGAUAUGUUUAGUUCCCGGAAAAUUUGAGGGAAAAUGUGAGGGAAGAAAAAUAGAGAAGAAAAGUAUAACGAAAUAAAAAGUGAAGGAAAAUGAAAAAUAGAUUUAAAGUUAACAAAUUAUUUUCAUUGGUUUUUUCAAACUUAUUUUACUUAUUUUAUUCUAUUAAAUAAAGAUUAACUAAUUUUAAUUAUAUUUGGUUUGAUUUUUAUUAUUUUUCAAAGCAAAACCAAAUAUGAAAAAAAAAACAUUUUUUUUUUUUGUUAUUUUUUUCUUUCCUUAUUACUUUUUAGGACUCAAACAUAGCUUUUAGAUUUGGAGCAUGGAAAGAUAAGAGUAUUGAAUAAUGGUUCUAUAUAUGCCCAUGCCCAUGCCCAUGAUACCAUUGAAAAAAAUGGAGAGAGGGUGAAACCUUUACUAGAUGAUAAAUUAUUCUCUUCAAUGGAAAUCAAAUAUAAUUAUUUUUAUCUUGUAUUAAUUGAAUGUUAUACUCCAUAAACUCAAAAUUAAAAUAAAUAAAAAAUUUAAAAACUAGGACAAUCCCAUUUUUUUUCAAUUUCUUAAAAAGAAAUUAAAUUAUAUUUAUUUAUAUCUAUUUUCAUCCCUACCCAACAAAAUAAAAAAAAAUUAACAAGGUGGGACAUGUAUGAGAAAUUCUCACACUAACUCUCACUAGUUUAUUUUUUUUUAAAAAAAAAAAUAAAAUCAAUUUCUUUUAAAAAAAUUAAACUACAUAAAAAAUAAACAAAUUUUACAAUUUUUUUUAAGAAAAGUAAAUUUCUUAUUUUAUAUAUGUUAAAAAUAAAUAUAAUCUUUUAUUUUUUAUAUAUAUAAUCGGGUAAGGUAGAGUGGGACAAAGAAAUAAUCCCCUUCGAUUCCAAUCCGAAUUUUUAAAAUAUAAAAUAAAAAUCUUAAACUCAUCCCUAAUCCAUUUAUUUUUAAUCCUAAACUUGUCUUAUUAAGAAUAAGGCAAAGUGAGUACAUGAAAACACUUCUUUUAUCAUCAUCUCUACAAGUUCUAAUGUUUAGAUUGCAAUCCAUAUCAAAGAUUUAUAAAGAAAGAACAACAAUGAAUUUCAUAAACAUUUGAAAGCAUAAACAAAGUUUUAAAUAAUAUUGCUUGAGGUGCAAAUAUUAUUUGGCGCACAUGUUGAGGGACUUCAACUGGUGUAGUCUAGGUUUUUUACACUAGUAAGUAAUCUUGAAUAUCUAGAGUAACUUGAUCAAAAUCUCUUUAAUUUUAUUUUCUUUGAUGGUUGUAUGAUGAAUUAGAAUGCUUAUAUAACAUGAUUAAAAAUUUUAAGAAAAAAAAACUAAGAAGAAAGAAAGAAGCAUCGAUCUUCCAAAUAUUGCUUCCACUUUAAUAUCUAGUAGGCUCUAAGAAAAGAACUUUAUUCAUGAAUCAUAACCCAAGUCGAAAAUAAAUUGAACCCAUUUUCUAAGUUAAAUUUUGAAUUUUUUACUAGUGAAUGCAAAUUGGGAAAAUGUAUAUAAAUAUAAUCAAACUAGAAUAGUAGAUUAGGUUUGUAGGUGGAGUUUGUUUGAAUUGUUGGAACUUCCAAGUCGUUGUGGGUCUAGUGGUCCCAUAGCUCUCUAUUAAUUUCCACCAUCAAUUUUUUGCAAUAAAGUCAAGUCAUUCCUAACCCUUAUAUUAAGUUGGCCUUAAAAGUCAAGUCAUUGAUCAUAGUUACAUUCAUGAAUCACAACCCAAGUCGAAAAUAAAUUAAACCCAUUUUUCAAGUUCAACUUUGAAUUUUUUAGUAGUAAAUGCAAAUUGGGAAAACAUAUAUAAAUAUAAUUAAACUAAAAUAGUAGAUUAGGUUUGUAGGUGGAGUCUGCUUGAAUUAUUGAAACUUCCAAGUCAUCGUGGGCCCAAUGGUCCCAUAGCUCUCUAUUAAUUUCCACCAUCAAUUUUUUGCAAUAAAGUCAAGUCAUUCUAACCCCUAUAUUAACUUGGCCUUAAAAGUCCAAUCAUUGAUAGCUAAAUCCCAACCCAAGUCAAAAAUAAAUUGAACCCAUUUUCUAAGUUCAACUUUGAAUUUUUUUUAAUUGGAAAAAUGUAUAUAAAUAGAAUUAAACUAGAAUAGUAGAUUAGGUUUGUAGGUGGAGUUUGCUUGAAUUUGUGAAACUUCCAAGUCGUCGUGGGUCUAGUGGUCCCAUAGCUCUCUAUUAAUUUCCACCAUCAAUUUUCUGCAAUAAAGUCAAGUCAUUCCUAACCCCUAUAUUAAGUUGGCCUUAAAAGUCAAGUCAUUGAUCAUAGUUACAUUCAUGAAUCACAACCCAAGUCGAAAAUAAAUUAAACCCAUUUUUCAAGUUCAACUUUGAAUUUUUUACUAGUGAAUGCAAAUUGGGAAAACAUAUAUAAAUAUAAUUAAACUAAAAUAUUAGAUUAGGUUUGUAGGUGGAGUCUACUUGAAUUAUUGAAACUUCCAAGUCAUCGUGGGCCCGGUGGUCCCAUAGCUCUUUAUUAAUUUCCACCAUCAAUUUUUUUGCAAUAAAGUCAAGUCAUUCUAACCCUUAUAUUAAUUUGGCCUUAAAAGUCCAAUCAUUGAUAGCUAAAUCCCAACCCAAGUCAAAAAUAAAUUGAACCCAUUUUCUAAGUUCGACUUUGAAUUUUUUUUAAUUGGAAAAAUGUAUAUAAAUAGAAUUAAACUAGAAUAUUAGAUUAGGUUUGUAGGUGGAGUCUACUUGAAUUUGUGAAACUUCCAAGUCGUUGUGGGUCUAGUGGUCCCAUAGUUCUCUAUUAAUUUCCACCAUCAAUUUUCUGCAAUAAAGUCAAGUCAUUCCUAACCCAUAUAUUAAUUUGGCCUUAAAAGUCCAGUCAUUGAUAGCUACGUUCAUGAAUCCCAACUCAAGUCAAAAAUAAAUUGAACCCAUUUUCUAAGUUCAACUUUGAAUUCUUUUAAUUGGGAAAAUGUAUAUAAAUACAAUUAAACUAGAAUAGUAGAUUAGGUUUGUAGGUGGAGUCUGCUUGAAUUUGUGAAACUUCCAAGUCGUCAUGGGUCUAGUGGUCCCAUAGCUCUUUAUUAAUUUUCACCAUCAAUUUUCUGCAAUAAAGUCAAGUCAUUCCUAAACCAUAUAUUAAUUUGGCCUUAAAAGUCAAGUCAUUGAUAGUUACGUUCAUGAAUCACAACCCAAGUCUAAAAUAAAUUGAACCCAUUUUCCAAGUUCAACUUUGAUUUUUUUACUAGUGAAUGCAAAUUGGGAAAACAUAUAUAAAUAUAAUUAAACUAGUAUAGUAUAUUAGGUUUGUAGGUGGAGUAAGCUUGAAUUGUUGAAACUUUCAAGUCGUCGUGGGUCUAAGGGUCUUAUAGCUCUCUAUUAAUUUCCAUCGUCAAUUUUUAUGAAUUAAGAUUUAAAAGUGAGAAGGGAAUAAAUUUUUUCUUUUUCAAUUCAUUACAAAAAAUAUUUUUGGUUUUUAUGCUAAAAUUUAUUGUUUAUUCAAAAAAUUAAAGUAUAAAAAUAUAAAAAAAAAUAUAUAUCUUGAUAUUAUAGAAGAGCUCCAAAAUUUUUGUGUUUAAGAGAAUAUGUGUUGCCACUUUAGAAGAUUUAUAUACAAAAAGGAUUGAUGUUUCUCCUUUGACUAUGUUUGGUUGCCAAAAAUUUGAGGGAAAGAAAAUAAAAAAAAAUAGUAAAAAAGAAAAAAUGAAGGAAAAUAAAAAAUAGUUUUCAAGUUAAUAAAUUAUUUUUAUAUGUUUUUUCAAACUUAUUUUACUUAUUUUCUUUCAUUAUAUAAAGAUUAAAUAAUUUUAAAAUGCAUAAUUUCUAACUAAUUUUAAUUAUAUUUAAUUUUUCUUUUAUAUUUUUUAGACGGGAUCCGACACAUGAAAAAAUCCUUUUUUUUAGCAUCUUUUUUUCUUUUCUUAUUACUUUCCAAUAACCAAAUAUAACCUUUAGAUUUAGCCUUUAGACUUGGAGUAUGGAAGGAUACUGAGUAUUGAAAGAAGGUUUUGUAUAUGGCCAUGAUACCAUAGAAAAAAUGGGCGAGAGAGAAAAAACCUUUAUUAAAUGAUAAAUUAUUUUACUACUUACUACAUAAAUAGAUAUUCAUGGAGUGCAUUCUCUAAAAAGCUCCAGUCUCAUGAAAAUGGAAAGAUGGACCGGCCAGUGGACCGGUUCGAGUUUGGAUUUAUGGGCUGCCUCAGCCUAACACGCAUGAUAGGCUGUUGCAGGUGAAGAACUAAUUAAUUUAAAGCCUUCUUCUAUCCUCUCCUAUUCCUCUUUCACUCCAAAUUUUCCACAUGAUAAUGACAAUUCUUUUGUUAAAUGGUAAAAAAAAAAAUUUAACAAUUAAUUUAAAAUCAUUUAUAAAAUCAUGAACUUUGGCAUCCUAAUUAAUGCAAUUUAAACUUUUUUUGUUUACAAAUGAAAUAAGAGGCAACAUAUAAACCCAAAAGUUAAUUUUCCUACCAUCUCUAUGCACCAUUUUAGCUUUACUCCAAUAUAUUUUCUAUGAUUAAUUAUUUUCAUUCAAACAAUAAUAUCAAAAUAUUUUAAAAUUAGACAUAUCAUAAUCAAAUAUCAUUAUAUUAUUAUUGAAUAAUAUUUAAUGUAAUUUAAUAAUCAACGUAUACUUAUAGAAUUUAUAUUUUUUAUUAAUGCAUAUAAUAUUAUUAUCAAAUAUGAUAAAUUAUAUAUAUAUAUUUCUUUAACAAAACAACUUUAAAAUAUCUAUUAUACUUUUAAUUUCAUCUCUAAGAGGUUUUUUUUUUUUUCUUUUUUUUUUUUACAUUUUUAUAAGUUUUGAUCAAUUGUAGGCUAACCAAUAUUUUUUUAUCAAAAUAUCCACCAAUAUAUCUCCGAUAUAUUAGAUAUAUCCGUAACAUCGAAAUACCAAUAUAUCCGCGAUUAUCGAUAUUUUUAUCCUUGAGGGAUAACAACUAAUAUAGUUUUUGCACUUAAUGAUAUUCCUCAACAUUUAGAUUGAUUUGACCAAAAUCUUUUUAAUUUUAUUUUCUUUGAUGGUUAUAUGAUGAAUUAGAAUAGUCAUAUAACAUUAACAGAUUUAAGAAAAAAAGGAUAAAAAAGCUCGUAUUUUUCAAAUAUUGGUUUCAACUUUGAAUAUUUUUAUUGGUAAAUGAAAAUUGUGAAAAACCUACUAAUGCUAAUACUUUUCACCACAUAAUUAAAUAUAAUAAACUAGAAUAGUGAUUCAUUGAUGUCUUAUAAAGACACAUGCCUUCUUUGACUUGUUAGUUGAUUUUUGUAGGUGGAGUCCAUUUCCAUUUGAAUUGUUGAAACUUCCAAGUCCUUGUGGGUCUAGUGGUCUCUCUAAUAAUUCCCACCAUUAAUUUUUUGUGAUGAAGUGCAGUCAUUGAUAGCUACUAUAUCAAUUUGCUAUUAAAAGUCAAGUCAUUGAUAACUAAUAUUCAAUCUUUUUCAAUAUGGAAAUUGGAAUCUCUAGCACUACUCUUCUCAUUGUUCAUUUUUAGGUAAUGUGAGAAUGUGUGAACAUAAAUGUCUUCUAAUCAACCAAUUUUUUUGAAAAAAACAUGUACAAAAUUGCAAAACUUGCAAAAUCAAACUUUCUUGUUGAAUAACCAUAGCUUGAUGGUUUUGAAGAAUCAAAGGAUGAAUCAUAAAAGGGUAUUUGAUAAAAAAUAAAAAUUUAAAAAGUUAAAAGACAACUACUCCCUUAAGUGUAAUAAGUGUAUUUGGUAGCACAAAUUUCCUACCACUUAUUAUUUUUUCCUUUCUUAAAAAAUUAUUUACUCUAUUAAAUAAACUAACCUUGGCUUAGCACUUAUAGCAAAAUAGGUUAAGUAGUUUUUAAAAUUUUAUAAUAUUAGAUUUACAUUUUUAUCCUUCAAAAUUUCAUUAAUGCUAGAUUCUUCUAUAUGCUUAACUAAUAAAUAAUUUUUAGCAUUUUUCUUUUCUUAUAAACAUAAAAAAAUAAAAAUAUUAUUAACUUAUUGGUAUAUUUUAAAAUUUUAAUUAGAUUUAAGCUUUUAUUUGUUUGGAUUACCAAUUAUACAUAUAAAUCCUUUGUUAUUAUUGUUAUUAUUGAAAGAAAGGGGUUGAAUAGGUAGUCCCUCAAUCCCCAAAUUAAAUUCUUUAUUGCCUACUUUUGGUUUAUUCCUUUACAUGAAUUCCUUGGUGAGAGUAAACAUUUCAUUAAUAGAUAAAUAAAAUUGAUUCCAUAUCAUAGGGUAUAAUGUGGAAAAAUCACCAGUCUCAUGUGUUCCUUAGUGGAUCCUUUGGAGCCCUAUCAAAGUUUCAUGAUGAAACCAUUGACUUUUGUUUAACCCAAAUGUGCUUUCAAGACAAAUCUUGAAAGAUUUGAGAGAUGGAGGUUCAAGUCUUUUAUGAACGACCAUGUUCUCUUAGGGUUCAUGAAAUUCACACCUUUUGAUAAAUAAAACUUAUCUAUUUAUACGUCUAAAACCCAGUAUUUAUUUAUUUAAUUAUAGAAAGUUUCUUAGUUUUAAAAACAUUUCAAAAAUCAUUUUUAGAAUCAAAUAAGAAUUUUAGAGAUAAACACAAUAUUAAAAUUUAACAAAAACAAAUUUUCGAAUUAAAAACACAAUAUAAACUAAAUUACAAAAUAUAAAGUAAUUUUUACCCUAAUUUCUUGUUGCAAAACCAAAUGGAACACCUAGAAGGGGAGUGAAUGGGUGAUUUUAAAUUUUUUCAAUAAUUAUUUAUAAGUUAUACCCAAUUCUUUUACCCUGCAAGUUGUUAGGGACUAUCAAUUCUUUCAUUUUGGCAAUUCAAACAAUAUAUCAAAUAAUAAAAAGAUAUAAAUAAUGAGACAUAAAUAUUUUUACGUGGAAAACCCCCCACACUAACCAUGGAGAUAAAAAGCCAUGGAGUCUAAGACCUAUUAAUCUAAAUUCACGGUACGAAAUCAAGUUACACAAAUUUAUUUGACAACUUUACCUUAAAGACUUACUCUACAGUACUGACAACUUGAUUCACAUCCACGACGUAGCAACCCUCGAUUACUCCAAUGGAUCACUUCAAGCUUACUAAAAGGAUGAAGGCCUUCAAACCAAGAUUCAAAAAUCAAUUCCUUGAAUGAGAGAUCAGGAAUGGUGUGCCACUUUAGGCUUUCUCUCUAAGAACUCUAAAAUGAUCUCCUCAAUGAAAACCUUUUAAACAAAAUGAGAUAUUUCUCCACAAUCUCUAACCCUCAAGGGGUUAUAAUGAGAUAUUUAUAAGCAACUAAGUUGAAGAGUUUCGGUUUUGGAAGGUUUCUCAAUUGAAUUUGUGUGAAAAACUCGACAGAAUCAACAUGACCGCUCGAGGCAGCACACUUCCCACUUGAGCGUUUCGGGCACUUGAGCGGUAAGGCUUGCUUGAGUUGUCCUAAGCGCUUGAGCAUUCCAGGCUACUUGAGCAAUCUUGCUCUAUUUCAAAAGUUAAUUUUAAACCAUUUUAAGUUCAAAACAAAAUUGAUUCCCUUUAUACCUCAAAGGAGCCUAACUUGCCACAAACCAAACUUUUUUAGAUAUACUUGUGACUUCCUGGUUGGACGAACAACAACUCUUAAUCUUCAAUGGAGAGCAAGUCACUAUCUAAAAAGAUUUAUAUGGUCAAACAUAAAAAAACAAAAAAAUUGCCAACAUAACAACAAGACUCAAUGUCCAUGCAUGGUCACCUGAAAGGUGACUCCGACCACAAUAUAAUGCAUGUUCUCAUAGAACAUGUGAACAAGAUGGGGAUAGGAAGUCCCCUAGAGAGAAAACAGAGUCUCCUAACCCUACUCUUGAAUGAUGAUAGGGAAGACAGUGUCCUGAAAAGCUUAAAGGUUAAUGGCAUGCUCAGGCUCGACACACCGAUAUGUGAAAGAAGCGUAAUAAUGGUCCCGUGCCACCUGGUAGUGAAAGCGCUCAACCGGAAGUGCAUCUAGGUUAAAAAGACCCUAGAGUGGGAUGCCCUAGACGGUUUCAGUGACCUAGGAAAGGUCACCUCCCUUUGACAUCUAUGACUAGCCAUAUCUAAGGUAUAUAAUAUGAAAAAACAAAAGCUAAAGAAAAUCCAGAGAAAAGCUAAACCACUAAAAAUGUUAAACUCAAUGCGUCGAACAAUACUAUACAAAUGGAAAUGAAAAAUAUGAAGCGAACUGACCUCAGAAGACAAAAGGACAGUAACCCAGAGGGCUCGAAGAGGAAUAGGAAAGAUUGAAAUGAAUAUGGCGUGAUGGAUGACCUUUAUAUAGCUUAUAAGAGUGCUUGAUGCAGAUUAGCACUUGAGCGUCAUGACUAACUUAAAUCAAAUUAUUUAUUAAUAUGGAAAUAUUUUAAAAGUUUCAAAGGAAGUAUUCAAUUUAGAACCUUUUUAGAAUUUUUUUGAAAGAAACAAAAAUAAAGCGUGAAAUAUUAUGUGUUAAAGGUGUUAGAAGACAAUAUUGUCUAAUCCAAAGCCUUACACAUUCCUAAAAAAAAAAAAAAAAAAAAAGGAAAAAGAGAGAUAUUAUAUAAGAUUUUGAUCACAUCUAAUAGAAACUAAUAUUUAGCAACAUAUCACCAAGCACUAUCUUAUCAGAAAGCUCUAACAUGUUGGAAAUUUAUGUAAGGUUCCAUAACAGCUAAAAACUUUUUCUGACGACUCGGUAAUGGACCAUUUGCACUUUAACUACAUUAUUGAAUUUAAAUCAUAUUAGAAUUGUAAUUGACUUCUCUUUUGUGAGACUACAUAUCUUGUAGGAUGGGAUAGGUGAUUCAUUUCAUAUAUGAAAUUUACUUAAUUUAGUAAUGCUUCCAAGUUCAUUAUGAAUCUAAUGGUAUCACAACUCCUUUAAUAUUUGUAAUUUUGUAAUCUUUGUUUCAACUUCUCAAGUCUAGUCAUUUUAUUGGCAUAACUAGUUUGCUUCAAUUAUCUCUCAACUUUAUUAUAAAACUAAGGGAAAGGAUUAUCACGCAUUUUAUAUUAACUUAACCAAACAUCUUUAUAUAUCUUACAUAUAUAUAUUUUUUGUAAAUUUAGGAAAAUUUCAUCCAUUAGCCAUAGUAAGUAAGAAUCAAAUAAGGGAUAUGUAAGCCAAUGGUGAUAUUGAUGGCGUCAAAUCAAUGACAUAGUAGAAAAGUGGAUUGUCUAUUUUCAAACCUUUAUAUUUUCAUCCAAUAGUAAAAAGGUUUAGGCAUCACUUGAAAAGUAGUUCGUUUUUUACCUUGGACUAUGAUUUAUGAAUAAAGUUCUUCUGUUGUAUACCUUUUGUGAUGCCCCAAACCUAAUUUAGGGGUAAAAAAAUAAUUUAGAAAAAAAUAAAUAAAAAGUUAAAUAAAUUUAAUUAAGGUAAAAAUGUAUUUUUGUAUUUAAAAUUCCUAGGUAUCAAUUAUAUAUUUCUUGUCUUCUCUAUUCAAAAAACCCUAUUACACAAAAAUCAAAUAUCAGAGAACAUAGGACAACGCAGGGUUGAAGAUUUGGAGGUUUAGGGUUGAAGAUUAGUUUUCCAGGUAAGAUUCUAACCCUUAAAUUAGUAUUUUAGAUUCGUUAAUUAGUUUGAACACUUUAGAUAUUCUUUGAAAAAUCUGAAUCUACGUUAGGGUUUGUUAAUUUAAUUUUUAAAUAAAAAAGAUUCAAAAUUUAUGAACAUAAGUAGAGUUAUUAUUAAAGAUUGAAAUUUUUUGAAUAUUUGAAUUAAAAAUCUAGAAAAAAAAAGAAGAAAAUAAAUUAUAGCUUUGGAUGUGGAAAAAAGUUAAUAUUAAUAAAUAAAUAAAACUUAUGAGUACGGAGGUAGAAAAAUAUGAGAGUUGAAAGCAAAGAAAAAAAAAAGAGAAUAAGGUUUUGUGGUUGUACGUGUCUCCUUAGUGGAAAAAAGAAAUACAAGGUUGUUUGCAAUAGGAUAUGACAAAGAGAGAGAGAUAAAUGCUUAGAUGUUGAUUUUUGUGGGGAAAAAAAGAUUGGGUAAUGUAGGAGAGAAAUAGGUAGCACUUGUAGAGUUGGUGGGGUUGUUGUAAAAGCUCGUAGGGUAAUUGUUAGGUAGUAGUAGGGUAUGAGAUUAAUUGUUAGGAAACAUUAGGACUUGAAAUAAUAAUAAUUGCUUCUAGUAAAAGUUUUAACUUAGUUUAAGUAUAUAAAAGAAAUAGAUGAUUAGAAUAAGAUUUGGAAGGAAUAUGAAUUCAUAAAAAUUUCGAAAUUUACUAAUUUAGAUUAUUAUUUUUUUGGAAGUUGAAUAUAAUAUAGGUGGUAAUAUUAUUAAUAUAGGAAAUGAUUAAGAUUCUCAAACCUACAAUUUUAGAUAAAUAGUUAAUAGUAAUAGUUGAUUUUUUAUUUUUUUUAUUUUUUAUUUUUUAUGUUAUGUUAAGUGAAUAAUGGAUUCUUUGAUUAAUUCUCUAAGGUUUCUAAGUGCUUCUUUAAGAUAAGGGAUAUUAAUACUGAUUUUGUAAAUGAAAAUAUUUCUUUUUAUAAGUUAUUUUAAAUUAUGAAAAAUUUUAUUUUUAUUUAUGCAUGGAUCAAAUAUAUAUUUUUUCAUGAGAAACAUGUUUGGGCAAUUUCUUUGUUUAUAAAUAAAUAAAUAAAAAAUGAGAACUUUGGAAAUAUAAUGUUUUGUUUUGCAAGUUUAAAAUAAUGAAAUAAAGUUUUUGACUCUGGUUUAUAUGACCUUAGUUAAUGGGUUAUAAUUGUUGACAUUUUCAGCUCUCCAAUCAAUGAUUAUAAUUGUUGAGAUUUUCAACCCUAGCCAACGGGUUAUAAUAGUUGACCUUAUAGCCCUAGUCAACAGAUAUAAUUGUUAACCUUUCGUUUUUCCCAUCUUAAAAAGAACAAAUUUAAGGCUAACCAUUUAUUUGUAAAGUCCCACCUAACUAAGUACCAUUUGUUAUUUAAUAACCAGAGUAAAGAUAUUUUGAAUGUAUUUGAUAUGAAAUUAUUUUGAUAUAAAUAUGAAAAUGUUUGGUUGAAAAGUUCAAAUGUUUAAUGCAUGUUGAAUUCAAAAGUUUUUAUGAAAAUGAUUAUAUGUUAUAUCUCCUAUUUGUAAGUUUGAUCCAUAAAACUGUAUUAAUAUUCCUUAUUGGACUUUGAGCUCAUUCCCCUUUGUUGAGAAUUUUUUUUGGUAUUCUCAGUUUGGGCAAGGAGUGAUGACUGGGUUGGGGAAUUUUCUUUACUAUGAUUUUGGUUCAAUCUUUAUUUUGGACAUUGUAAUUUAAUUCCCAUUUAAAUUAUUUGGGUUUGGAGUUAUUUGGACGAUAACACUUUGAUUGAUGUGUUAGUUUUAAAGUUGAGAAUUGAAAAUUAUAGAAUUUAUUUAUCUUUCUACUUUGAAUAGAAAUUUAGUAAUUGGAGAUCAUCCAGUUACAAGAUGAAUAUUAGAUGAAUAUUUGUGUCGUUUCCACAUUGAGUGUUCAGGCUUAGGGUGUGAAAUGACCGUUAUGCCCUUGGAGUGGGUAUAUUGUUUAUUUGAAUUUAAUGGUCCCCGAACUCCUUAAUUACUCAUAACUUUAUAUCACCUUCUCAAAGUUAAGUUGUUUUACAACUACUAUCUAGCUACUUUUCUCUACUAUGACAACUUUAUUACAUAGUGAUUAAUUGAAAGAAUCUACAUGUCUUAUUUCAUAGGAUAGUUGAUUUUUUUACUCAAUGAAUCUUGCUUUUAUUAUUGAAAAUUUCAAAUCAUUGUAGUCCAACAAUUUACUAUCCUUUGGUAAUUUCAUAUUACAUUUCCAAAGUCUAAUCAUUUAAAAACACUUGUAGUUAAUAUAUUGGCAAUUGCAUUGUGGGAAGUUGUUCACUUGAUUUUAAUGUUGAAACUUUCAAAUUGUUGUAGUCCAACAAUUCCCUAUCCAUUGGUAAUUUCAUAUCACAUUUUCAAAGUAUAAUCAUUUACAAAUACUUGUAUAUAGUAUAUUUGGUGAUUGUAGAGUGGAAAGUUGAUCGUUUUCAUGAAGACCUCUAAAAUAGAAAUUUUUUUCAUUCCAUUUAAUAAAGAAUUUCAUUAAUUGAACAUAUAUGUUUUUUUAACCGGAAAGUAGAGGCCACAUUAUACGAGGCCUUAGGUGACAAUACUAGGUGAGGGUUUUUUUUUUUAAUUUAUUUAUUACUAAAUAUAAAUAAUAUUAUUUAUUGUAUAAUAAAGAUUAUUAUAAUAUAUUUUUUAUAGAUGAAAAAAAUAUUAAUUGAGUUUUAUUUUUUUAAAAUAAUUGUUUUCAAUAAAUAACUUAUUUGUAAAAAGAAAACUAUAAAAUAUAUGCAUUUGAAAAAUAUUUAAUUUUUAUUUGAUUUAGUAUCAAUUAAUAUUUGUAAUAUUUUUUAAUAUUAUAGAAGUUAACAUACUCAAUCAAGAUAUUCAAGAUCAAGAGAAUAUUUAAGAUUGAAUUAAUUUCUUUAUUGUUUAUGUUUUAGUAAAUUUUUAUAUCCAUUACAAAUUUUUUAUUGUUUAUUUUUCAUUCAAUGUUUGCAUUUUUUAAUAGAUAUUAAAACGAUUUUUUUUCUUGUAUGUUAAAAAAAUAUUUCAAUGUCUUUAAAAAUAAAAUAUUGCAGUAAAAUCAAAAUUACAUUGUGAAACUUUAAGCGAAUGUUUUAUACUUAAGAAGUGCCAAUUAAAGUAAGCAUGCAUCUACAAUUGUAAUUUAGAUGUCAUACUGAAACAAUAGUUCUCUUUGACUAUAUCAUAAAAUUUGGUUCGAAUUACUUUAAGUCGUCUUGUAGAUUUUCAAGUUCCAAUGAUAUGCAUCAAGUAUGUGCAACAUACUUGAUAUAACUAAUAUUUUCUUAAGUAAUUGGACACUUUUUUCUAUAAAUUUACUUGAUUAUCAAUGAAUACUUUUAUGUAAGGUAUUGAUAUAAUUCGAUAAAUAUUUUAAAAUAGUAUUAGAAUAGCUUUGCUCUUUCCCAAUUAACAAAUUUACUAAAUUAACUUAUAUAUAUUUGUUUAUUUGAAUUUACUGGUAUUUGACUCAAAUUGUUAUUAUUUUUAAAAUUAUAGGAAAACCAUUAUUUAUAGAGUUUAAUUAUAUUUGGUAAAUUAUCUUUUUAAGUUUGGCUAGGAUUAGGAAACUAUUAAUUUAAGAUUAAUCCAUAAGGCUCUAUAAAUUUGCAGUUUUAUUUAGGAUUUAAAAAAAGAAAGAAAAAGUAAGAAAAAGUGAAGAGAGAUAGGCAAAGAGUGCAUUGGGUUUUAAAUAAAGAAAGGUUGAGAGAGUUUUGAUUACUACUCAAAAAGAACAUAUUUUAGAUAGUAAUUCUCAUGGGUUUCACAUCUUUUGAGUAUUAAUUAUGCCUAAAAAUGCUCAAUUAACAUGUUGUUGCCUUUGCAAGAGUUACUAACAAGUUUUAUAAAGUUUUGGAGUCAUUUCAAGUUAUGAUUUUAAUAAAUUGGUGACGAAAGAGAUGAAUUGAUUUGAAGAAGGCAAAUAAUAUUGAUGAUGAUCCAAAUGCAUAAUGAAAGAAGCAAUAUAAUUAGUUUGAUCGGGAUUUGCUGCUAAUUUGGAGGUAGUUAAGGUGGAGUCAAAAGAAGAAAAUGGAAGAAAUGACAAAGAGGAGCUUAAAAACCAAAUGUUGCAGAUUUGUAUGAUCAUGCAAAAAUUACAUGACUAUGCGAAAUGGAUUAGAGAAGGAAAAUUGACUAUAGUAUAAGGAGGAUGCUUAAGUUGAUUUCGCAUGAACAUGCGAAAAUUUUGCACAAUCAUGCGAAAUGGUCCAGAAAGCUCUCUAAUGUUGUUGUUGCUCCACUAAUUUCACACCACCAUGCGAAAUUGAUCUUUUCAUGCAAAAUGGCUGAAGCUCAUGUGAAAUCAUGAUUUUGAUGCUAAACUCUAGAUUUGUGAAUUUGGAAGGUUUUAGAAGAUCAAUGAGAAGUUGCCAAGUGUCCACUUGACCUUGGUCUAUAAAUAGAAACUUGAAUUUCCCAUGUAAAGAGCUUUGUGAUACUUUUGAUUUUAGAUUUUUCUAGGAACUCUUUCUCUAAAUAGAAUUCUAUAUUUUCUUUAAUUUUCUCUCAUUUUCUCAUUCGCCAAACAUGCCUAGUGAGACCAAAUCUCCAAGUAUGAGUGGCUAAAUCUCGUUUUUCUCAAAGGAAUGAGGAUCUAGAGUCAAGAUCUAUGGUGAAUUAUAGAAAUGAGUUUUAAUCGGAAAUGCAAUUUGAUUCAAUUGAUUGAUUAAUUGAAAUUUGAGGAUUUUUCUCUUCAAAUUAUCCUAAAUGACUAUUACAUUGCAAACUAGGUAGAUUCAUUAAAUUCUUAAAGCUAGAUUUAAUGAGACUGAAUAGUUGCAUUGUAUGAAUCAUUGGAAGAUAAUUUAAGAUGAAUUGAAUAUAUAAUUUAAAUUGAUCUCUUGGAUUAAAUAACCUAAUUUGAAGAGAAAUUAGGUUUAGACUUAAAGGUAAAUCUAAAAUCGAUUUAGAUAAGAAUUUAGGUUUUCAAUCUAACUUGAUGAAAAAUAAAUCUCAACAUCUAUUCACCAUGGAAAUUGUUUUCUAAAAAAUAUUAACUCCGAGAAUUCCUUUUCCUUAUCAAUUUUCUUAUAUUCUACAUUAUAUUGUUCUUUUCGAUUAGAAAUCAUUGUUAUUUUGAUUUUUCAUGAAUUGUCAAAUCAAUUUCACUUGACCAUAAUCAUUUCUUUUCCUCCCAUUUAAGCCUUAAUUAUCGAGAAUAAUCCAUCCCAAUAGAAGACACCUAAGACCACUAUACUACCGUAGCUUUUGCUAAAAAACCUUUUUGAUCGGGCAAGAGUUACCUUAGCAUAGUUGAAUUAGGUUAUAAUUUUUUUAUCCAAUAAACAACAAAAAAAAUCAAUCGAUCAAGUUUGCAUUGUGUAUUCUUGAAUUUUAUUAAUAAAUUUGAUCCCCCUUUUUGAAGCGAUUACACCAAACCAAGUAAAUAUUUUAUAUACUUCAUUUGCUUUAUUUUUUCUAUUAAGUUUAGGUGUUGCAAUUUUCAAGAGUCAUGGUGAGAAGAUUGUGGGAAAAAUUAUUUUAAGGAUGGAGUCGAACAUAAAAUAUGAAAUUGAGUCCUUUGAUGGAAAUAAUAAUUUUAAUAUUUGAUAGAGUAUUAUUAAAGAUGUUUUGAUACAACAAAGACUUCUCAAAGCAUUACAAGGCAAAAAAACUAGAGAGCAUGACAAAUAAAGAAAUGAAAGAAUUAGAAGCAAGAGUUGUAAGUACUAUUUGUUUAAGUCUUAAAAAUGAAAUACAUUGUUUUGAAUGAAAAAAAUAUUCUUUUAGGGGUGUCAAUUGCUCUUUUAGAGACCAAAAAUAUUAAGCAGUCAAGUAGUUCAUCUCAUAUUGGACAAACUGUUAUGAUGAAUUCUAAACCACAUCAUCAUAGGAGUAAAUCGAAAGAAAGUAUCUGAUAGGAGGAUGAUCAUUCCAUUCACACUUAUGGAGGAAUAUGAAGUAUUAUUACUGUGAAAAAAAAAACAUAUCAGGAGAUAUUGUAAAGAAUUGAUGAAGUACCUAGAAGAAAUGAAAAUUUUUAAAUCCCAAGAGACUUCAAAUUUUACUAAUAUUGUUGAUGAAAAUUUUGAAAUAUUGUAGUAAAUUAAAAGUUACAUUAUGGGACUUUUAGUGAGUGUUUUAUGUUGAAGAAAGGCUAAUUAAAGUAAACAUGCAUCUAAAACUAUAAUUUAGAUGUUGUACUCAAAUAGUUGCUCUCCUCGAUUAUAUCAUAAAAUUUGGUUUGAAGUCUAAGUCAUCUAAUAAUUUUCUAAUUCAAAUUGCAUGCAUCAAACAUGUGUGUUAGGAAGUGUUGCAAAUUACUAAUUAAUAUAGAUUCUUUUUUUUUUUAAAGAAUAUUGUAUUGAAUAUUUCUAGGUUGAUAUAUUAUUGUAAUAUUAGACUUUCUUAUAGAAUAAGGAAGGUUGUUGAAAAUAUCCCUAUAAAUAUUCUAGUUCAUAAGGGGAAAAAGUUAUGAGAUGAAGAUGGACCCAUAAAGACUAUACAAGGUGGAUAGAGACGUGAAGAAAAACGAGAGGUACCCGGUGGAGCGAGAGGGCUCGUGGUAGGGUAUAGGUACAAAGAGUGAGAAAACAUGGGAUGUUUUGGGAACCCAAUAAUUGUAUCUGGUUAUGUCCUCUAUAAGUUCUAGUCCUGUCAUCUGCAUUGUUCUCUAUUUUAUAGUGGAAUGAUUCUCUUUUAUCUGUGGACGUGGGCAUGGUUUUCGAACCAUGUUAAAACCUUGUGUACCGUUUGUGUUGAUUUUUUUUUUUAUCUUUAUUUUAUUGAUUAAUGAAGUUUGCAUCAAAGCUUCUGUCAACGUAACAAACUUGUAUCAAAGCUUGGGUUAAAGAUUUCUAGAAGAGUAAAAGAUCAUAGAGCACACAAGAUGAAAACAAAAGGAAUUUUUAGUGAAAAUGGAGUCAAUUGCUCUCUCAUGGUGAUAUGAUAUAAAAAGUUUGUGUCAUGGAAAGUUUGAAGAUUUACUUCAUGGAAUCUGGUCCAAAAUGGAGAUUGUUAAUAAGUAUCCCAAAUUCCUAAUUAGUUUAGAUUUUUUUUUUUUGUAAAGAAUAUUGUAUAGAAUAUUUCUAGGUUAAUAUAUUAUUGUAAUAUUAGACUUCCUUAUAGAAUAAGGAAGGUUGUUGAAAAUAUCUUUAUAAAUAUUCUAGGUCAUGAGGGAAAAAAGUUAUGAGAUGAAAUGGGCCUGUAAAAACUAUAUGAGGUGGAUAGAGAUGUGAGGAAGAACAAGAGGUACUCAAUGGAAUGAAAGGGCUCGUGGUAGGGUAUGGAUACAAAGAGUGGGGAAAUAUGGGAUGUUUUGGGAACCUAAUAGUUGUAUCUGGUUCUGUCAUCUAUAAUGUUCUAGUUAUGUCCUCUAUAAUUGAUUCGUUCCCAAUUGGUGUCUCAGCUGAUUCAUGUCCUCUCCAUGGUCCCUGAUAGUGGUGCCAUUUGAUUCAUGUCCAGCUGGUGUCCCUUGAUUUUGGUCUUCAGGGAGUAAUCAACAAAAUUUAUAACCUAUUACACCAUGUACUAGGAUAGCCUUAGCUAGCAUAGCAUAGUGGCUCUAGGGUCGUUCACUGGGAUGGGUUUUCACUUCACAAUUGAUAUUAAUUCAAAGAUGAAUUGGUGCUUUUUCAUUUCAAGGUUAGCUUUAAAAGAAAACAUAAAGAUGUUUGAAUGAAAAAGGUUUUGUUUUAAACUAACCAAAAAUAAUAACUGAUUUUACUUACAAAGAAAAGUGUUUCUUGGAGUUUAGAUCACUGGGCUCAGAUUCCUUGUACAAAAAGGGAGUUCCGGUCACUUGUUUCUUUUCCUCGCAUUAGAGAAUUAACAUAUAGUUAAUUCUCUAACCGGUGUGGUACAGAUGCUUCCCCUUAAUGGGUUCAAACACUAAAUCCCUCUCACUGAUGCAACUUGCAAUGGCUCGUGCCUCUCACCUAGCAUUUGCCAUUCAAGGUGAUCUUUAACCUUGGAUUACCCUUCACAAGCUCGCAAGAGAUAACUAAUGGAUGUCUCCUUAGAGUCCAAAAGCUUACCAAGUGUUGGCAAUUCUAGAAAAUCAUACCUUCAAACCACCUCCCAAAAGCUCGCAAGAGGUAAACCAGUGCAUCUCCAUUGACGGAGAUCACUUGCCUAACCAAGUGUUGGCUCAAGUGAAUUGAAGGUGUUUUAAGUUAACUAAAAAGAUAAAAACCAUUAACGGGUCACACUUUCUCUUCAUUAAAAACUAAAACAACAAAACUUCCAAUUUAUGCAUGAGGAAACUUACCCGGCUUUCUUUCACUCCAAGAGACGAAGAGCCUAGCCUCUCAUCCUCUGAGAAAAAAUCCUCAGAGUUUGAUUGGCUAGAAAGAAAACUAACGAGAAAACAAAAAUAUAUAUAAGAAGCAGAGCAAAAGCUCUGUUCGUUGAUUACAUAUAUGAUAUAUGAUAUAUGAUGGAUCCUCUUCUUUACAUUGGUUCAAAGAUAUAUAUAGAGAAGAUAUUUUCUAAGAAAUAUCCCAAUAAUAUCUUUGACUAAUUACAAGGAGAAAAUAGAAAUUUACACAAAAUAUCUUGAGAGAAAAAAUCUAACUUAGUCGGUGGCAAAUAUCAGGAAGCUUCAGGAGAAUAUCGCGUCACUGUGCAAAAAUCCGGGUAAUCUGAAAUGCCGGCCGCGGAUGCUCUCCGGGUUAGCGCUAUUAGAAGAUCCGGACAUGCCUGUCUGGGGAGGUUGAAAUGCCUCUUCUUCCAUCCGGCGUCAGGCGUCGGAUUUGAAAUAUCUGAUCAGAGGAUCCUGACAUGUCUGACCGAACAGAAUUUCAGAUGUGAGAUAUCCGGACGUCGCAAGGGGGACCGUUUGCGUGUACAAGGUGUAGAGACCCUUCCCCCUGAUGACACGGAGCACGCAUCGCUAUCCAGAGCAACUCCAUCCGGAUUUCCCAAGAGGACACGCACCGCCAUGCUAUCCGGCACUCGUGAACAUCACACUCCGGAUGAUAGCAUAUCCUAUCCGGAUAUGUUGUCUGGAUCAUUGACUAAAGUGAGCAAGCCUUACUACAGCCCACGUUCCGCCGCUCUUCCAAUGGUGUGUCCGGACGCCCUGUCUGGACAUCUUUUUCCAUGGAUUCCAAAGAACUCUCCUCAAUCUCGGAUUGCUUUGGUGAUAAAAAAGCUAUCAAAACACCAAAACUUAACACAAUUUGAUUAGAAUUGAUUGCAAGGGUCCUUAAUAUGUUAAUUGGGUUAAAAAGUGAUAACUACUACUCAAAAGUGUUUAAAAGAGUUAAUUACAAGCUAUGAAAUAACACUUUUUGAGUAGUAAUCAAUAAUGUUCUCUAUUGUAUAGUGGAAUGAUUCUCUUUCAUUCGUGGAUGUAGGCAUGGUUGUCGAACCACAUUAAAACCUCGUGUACUGUUUGUGUUUUUUUUUUAAAAAAAAUUAAUCUUUGUUUCUUGAUUAAUGAUGUGUGCAUCAAAGCUUCCAUCUACGUAACAAACUGGUAUCAGAGCUUGGGUUGAAGAUUUUUGGAAUAGUAAAAGAUCACAAAGCACACAAGAUGAAAACAAAAGGAAUUUUUAGUGAAUGUGGAGUCAAUUGUUCUCUCAUGGUGAUAUGAUACAAAAAGUUUGUGUCAUGGAGGGUUUAAUGAUUGACUCCAUGGAAUUUGGUCCAAGGUAGAGAUUGUUAGGAAGUGUCCCAAAUUCCUAAUUAGUAUAGAUUUUUUUUUUAUAAAGAAUCUUGUAUAGAAUAUUUCUAGGUUGAUAUAUUAUUGUAAUAUUAGACUUCCUUAUAGAAUAAUGAAGGUUGUUGGAAAUAUUUUUAUAAAUAUUUUUAGUCAUGAGGGGAAAAAGUUAUGAGAUGAAGAUGAGCCUAUAAAGACCAUACGAGAUGGAUAGAGAUAUGAGGAAGAAUCGAAGGUACCCAGUGGAGCAAGAGGGCUCGUGGUAGGGUAUGAAUAUGAAGAGUGGGGAAACAUGGGAUGUUUUGGGAACCCAAUAGUUGUAUCUAGUUUUGUCAUCUAUAAUGUUCUGGUUCUGGCAUCUAUAAUGUUCUGGUUUUGUCCUAUGUAAUGUUCUUUAUUGUAUAGUGGAAUUAUUAUCUCUCAUCUGUGUAGACAAGUUGCUAAACCACGUUAAAACCUCGAAUACCAUUUGUGUUGAUUUUUUUUAUCUUUGCGUUCUUGAUUAACGAUGCUUGCAUCAAAGCUUCUACCAACGUAACAAUGUGCAACAUAUUUGAUAUAACUUAUAUUUUCUUAAGUAAUUGAACACUUUUUCUAUAAAUUUACUUGAUUAUCAAUGAAUACCUACAUAUACGGUAUUGACAUAGUUUGAUAAAUAUUUUAAAAUAGUAUUAGAAUGGCUUUUCUUUUUCCCAAUUAACAAAUUUAUCAAAUAUAUACAUACACACACACACACACACAUAAUACUCAUUAGUAUGUCUUUUAUGAAAAAACUAUAUUUGUUUAUUUGAAUUUAGUAGCCAUUCAACUCCUUAGUUACUCAUAAACUUUUUAUCACCUUCUUAAAGUCAAGUCAUUUACAAUUAUUUCUAUCUAGCCUUCUCCAUUAUAACAACUUUAUAAGAUAGUGAUUGAUUGGAAGAAUCUACAUGCCUUUGUUGAUAGGAUAAUUGUUUUUCUUUUUUUUUCGUAUUCAAAGAAUCUUGCUUCUGUUAUUGAAACUUUCAAAUCCUUUAUGUCAAGUUGUCUUAUAAUUCCCUAUUCAUUGGUCUUUCAUAUUACCAAUCAUUUUGAAAAUGAGUUAAUUUCAUUCACAUCCUCUGAGAUUUGAUGUAAAUUCGCUUAGUUACCAAUGAUUUCAAAUUUCAUUAAUUAGUACCCCUAUAGAUGUAAUUUGUGUACAAAAUUUAUUUUUUAAAAGAGUUUAGGUAAAAAUAUUUUAGGUAUAUGUCUUUAACAAUUCUCUAAAAUAAAUUUUACUUGCUAAAAAAUAACUUAUAUAGAUAGAAUACAUCUACAGGAGUUCUAACUAACGAAAUUUAAAACUAAUGGUGGUUUAGUGUAUUUAAACUAAACAUUAGGAAGGGUGACUGAAAUUAACCCUCUAGGUAUAUAUGUUUAACAAAAUUUUUAUUGUUUAUUUUUCAUUUAAUGUUUGCAUUUUUCAAUAAACAUUGAAAAGGAAUUGUUUUUCCAUAUGUUAACAAAAAGAAAUUUGAACACCUAUAAAAAUAAAAUCUUGUAGCAAAAUUGGAGUUACAUUAUCAGACUUUUAAUGAGUGUUUAUGUUUAGAAAGACCAAUUAAAGCAAGCAUGCAUCUAGAAAUUGUAACUUAGAUGCAUCAAACAUGAGCAACAUAUUUGAUAUAACCAAUAGUUUCUUAAGUAACUAAACACUUCUUUUUCUAUAAAUUUACUUGAUUAUCGAUGAAUACUUACAUAUAUUUACAUAGUUUGAUAAAUAUUUUAAAAUAAUAUUAGAAUAACUUUGUUUUUUCUCAAUUAUAUUAGAAAAUAAUAUAAAGUUACUUAUAAACUUUAUAUCAUUUUCUCAAAGUCAAGUCAUUUACAAUUAUUUCUAUCUAGCCUUCUCCAUUAUGACAACUUUUAUAUGAUAGCCGUUGAUUGGAAGAAUCUACAUGUCUUUUUUGAUAGGAUAGUUGUUUUUAUUUUUUUAUUUUUUUUAUUCCAAAAAUUUGCUUCUAUCAUUGAAACUUUCAAAUCUUUUAUGUAUAUUACCAAUCAUUUUACAAGUGAGUUAAUUUCACUUAGGGUAGAUAUACUUAGCCACACCCCUAUAGAUGUAAUUUGUGUUUAAAUUUUAUUUUUUAUUUAGGUAAAAAUAUCUUAGGUAUAUGUGUUCAACAAUUCUCUAAAAAAUAAAUUUUCUUAUCUAAAAGUUUAUAUAGACAAAAUACAUCUAUAGAAGUCCUAAUUAAUGAAAUUUAAAAUUAAUGGUUGUUUAGUGUAUUUACAUUAAACCUUAUGGGGUAUGAUUGAAAUUAACUCUUUUACAAGCACUUGUAGCUAAUAUGUUUGUAGUUGUAGUGUUGGAAAUUGAUCAUUUUCUUGAAGGCCUCUAAGAUAUUGAAAAUAUUGCCAUAGUUUUAGACUUUUUUUUAUUACACCUAAUAAAAAAUAUUAUUAAUUUAACAUAUAUAUUCUUGACUUAAAAGUAAAGUCUCUCCAUAUUGUAUAAGCCCUUAGGUGGCAAUAUUAGGUGAAGUUUUUCUUUCGUUUAUUACAAAAUAUAAAUAAUUUAUUAUUGUAUGAUAAAAUUUUAUGUAAUAUAUUUUUAUAGAUGUAAAAUUAUUAAUUGGGUUUUUUUUUUACUAAAUUGUCAUUUCAAUAUAUAAAACUUAUUUGUAAAAAGACAAUUAUAAACUAUAUGAAAUUGAAAAACAUUUAGUUUUUUUAUUUAAUUUAGAAUUUUAUUUGGAUUAAUAAUUGAUAUUUGUAAGAUUUUUUAAUAUUAAAAAAAGUUAGCAUACUUAAGAAAGAUAUUCAAGAUCGGGAGUGUUUGAUAUUGGAUUAAUUUCCUUAUUUUCUCUAUUUUAAUAAAUUUUCACGUCCAUUACAAAAUUUUUGUUGUUUAUUUUUCACUUCAAUAUUUUUAUUUUGUAAUAGACAUUUGAAAAGAUUUUUUCCUACAUGUUAAAAAAAAAAAUAUUUGAACACUCCUAAAAAAGAAUAUUGCUAUAAAAUUAAAGUUUACAUUGUAGGACUAUUAGCAAAUGCUAUAUACUUAAAAUAGACCAAUUAAAGUAGAAAUACUUCUAAAAUUGUAAUUUAGGUAACAAUAAUAUAAAAAGAUAAUAUUUUUGAAACAAUAGUUCUCUUGGAGUUUUGGGUACGAUGGACUAGACUUUAUGUACAAUAGAUAUACAAACUUUCCAUUAACAUCUUGAGAGACAUGAUGAGGAGCAAAGUCAUCCAAGAAGGUACCAUAGAGGUACCUUAGCUCCAUUCAUCUAGACUACAUAAUGUUUAAAGAUCAAAUUCAAUGACUAGAUUUCAAAAAUCAAUAUAAGCUUUCUCAUAUUCUACUCUAUAUAAGACAAUGGUAUGAUACCUCUCUUGUGUCGUAGAAUGCACCAUGAAAACCUUAUCAUUUUAACAUCAGUUUGAAACUUAAAAGUCACUUAGCACAUUCUAGUUAUUAAUCUAAGAGCAUUAAAAGAAAAUAUAAAAAAAGUUACUUUAUCCUUGUGAUUUUGAUUUAGGACUUUUAAUGAUAUUAAAAAAAAAAAACAAAACAGAAAAAUAAAUGGAAAUAAAAUCAACAAAUUAAACAAUUGAAUUAAGUUAGUUUAAUUCUUGCAUCGUUAAAUGGGUAAAUAAAGACUCUUAGAUUUGAUAUUAAUAUGAACAUCAUGACUUCAGUGAAUCUUACAAGAAAAUUUUAGUUUGAAAGACUUCAUUCAUUAAACGUGUGGCACAUAUUAAAGUAAAACUAAGUCUUCUCUAUAAUUUGUACCUAUCAUAGUUUCUUUCCUUAUAAAUAGCCUUUUUUGAAUAUAAUAUAGACUUCAACAUGCAUGGUGGGGCCAAUCAAACUACUAGUCAAGACAACUCAUGGGCAACAACGAUGUACCAACUACAUUUAAAUACUCUUCAUCUAUUUACAUAUCAAGAGUAAUUUAGUAGUGUCUUAUUUAUGUACCUCAUAUCUAGACUUUCAAUGGAGAGUUCUUCAUCUAAAAAUUUGACUUGGGUUUUCAUACUAGUUUUGGUUUAGACAUGUGGAUGCAAAGGUUGCAUCAAAGAAGAGAAGUAGGCUAAAUCAUCUUACAAAUUUUAUAGUUCAAAUUAGAUGCACCAAACAUAUGCAACAUAUUUGAUAUAACUAAUAUUUUCUUAAGUAAUUGAAUACAAUUUUUUUUUUAAAUUUACUUGAUUAUUAAUGAAUAACUACAUGUAUGGUAUUGACACAACAUGAUAAAUCUUUUAAAAUAGUAUUAGAAUAACUUUGCUAAAAAAAAGUAAAAAUAAAAAUAAAAAUACAUCUAUAUAUAAAAUUAAAUUAAAUUAAAAAUUAAAAAAGAAUAUAUAUUCUCUGUGUGUGUGUGUGUGCAUGGUCCCACAACUCAUUAGCUACUCAUAAGCUUUAUAUCACUUUCUCAAAGUCAAGUCAUUUUGUAAUUAUUUCUAUCUAGCCUUCUCCAUUACGACAACUGUAUAGGAUAUUGAUUGGUUGGAAAAAUCUUCAUGUCUUUUUUUAUAAGAUAGUUUUUUUAUUAUUAUUAUUAUUCAAAGAAUUUGCUUUUAUUAUUGAAACUUUCAAAUCCUUUAUGUCUAGUGGUCCUACAAUUCCCUAUUCAUUGGUAUUUCAUAUUACCAAUCAUUUUACAAAUAAGUUUAUUUCACCCGGUAAAUAUACUUAACUACUAAUGGUUUCAAAUUUAAUUGAUUAACACACUUAUAGAUGUAAUUUGUUUUUAAAUUUUAUUUUUUUAGAAGAAUUGUAGGUAAAAAUGUUUUAGGAAUAUGUGUUCAAUAAUUCUCUAAAAACAAUUUAUAUAGAUGGAAUACAUUCAUGUAAGUUCCAACUAAUGAAAUUUAAAACUAAUGACAAUUUAAUGUAUUUGCACUAAAUCUUAGGGGAGGUGUACUAAAACUAGCCCUUUUACAAAUAUUUGAUAUGAAAUUAAUUAAUUAAUUUUUUCUAUUUAAAUAAAUUUUUGCAUCCAUUAAUAAAAUUUUAUUGUUUAUUUUUCACUUCAAUAUUUUUAUUUUGUAAAAUAAAUAGAAAUAAAAUCAACAAAUUAAAAAAUUGAAUUAAGUUAGUUUAAUUUUGCCACCUUUAAAUUGGUAAAUGAAGACUCUUAUAUUUGAUAUUAACAUGAACAUCAUGACUUUAUUGAAUCUCACAAGAAAAUUUUAGUUUGAAAGAUUUUAUCCUUUAAACAUGUGACACAUAUUAAAGUGAGACCAAGUCUUCCCUAUAAUUUGUAUCUAUCACAAUUUCUUUCCUAAUGAAUAGCCUUUUUGAAUAGAAUAUAGACUUUAGCAUGCAUGGUGGGGCCUAGCUAUCAAACUACUAGUCAAAACAACUCAUGGGCAAGAAUGAUGUACCAACUAGAUUAAGUAUUCUCCAUCUAUUUGCAUAUCAAGAGUAAUUUAGUAGUAUCUUUCUUGUGUACCUCAUUUCUAGACUUUCAAUGGAGAGUUUUUUAUCUUAAAAUUUGACGUGGGUUUUCAUACUAGUCUUGGUUCAGAUAUGUGAAUGCAAAGGUUGCAUCAAAGAAGAGAAGUAGGCUAAGUCAUCUUACAAAUUUUCAAGUUCAAAUUAGAUGCAUCGAACAUGUGCAACAUAUUUGAUAUAACUAAUAUUUUACCAAGCAACUAAAUACUUUAUAUAUAUAUAUAAAUUUAUUGAUGAUCAAUGAAUACCUACAUGUAUGGUAUUGACACAGUUUGAUAAAUCUUUUAAAAUAGUAUUAGAAUAACUUUGCUAAAAAAAGUAAAAAUAAAAUAAAAUAAAAUAUAUAUAUAUAUAUAUAUAUAAAUAAACAAAAUAAAAAAUUUAAAAAGAAUAUAUAUAUUAGUGGUCCCACAACUCAUUAGCUACUCAUAAGCUUUAUAUCAUUUUCUUAAAGUCAAGUCAUUUACAAUUAUUUCUAUAUAGCCUUCUCCAUUGCGACAACUGUACAAUAUAUUAAUUGAUUGAAAAAAUCAUCAUGUCUUUUUUGAUAGGAUAGUUUUUUUUUUAUUCAAAGAACUUUCAAAUUCUUUAUGUCUAGUGGUCCUACAAUUCCCUAUUCAUUGGUAUUUCAUAUUACCAACCAUUUUACAAAUAAGUUAAUUUCACUCGAUAAAUAUACUUAACCACCAAUGGUUUCCAAUUUGUAGCAUUCUUAUAGAUGUAGUUUGUUUUUAAAUUUUAUUUUUUAGAAGAAUUGUAGGUAAAAAUAUUUUAGCUAUAUAUGUUCAACAAUUCUCUAAAAACAAUUUAUAUAGAUGGAAUACGUUCAUGGAAGUUCCAACUAAUGAAAUUUAAAACCAAUGAUGAUUUAAUGUAUUUGUACUAAAUCUUAGGGAGUGUGGACUAAAAUUAGCCCUUUUACAAAUAUUUAUAACUAGUAUAUUUGUAGUUGUGGUAUUGGAAGUUGAUCAUUUUCUUAAAAGGUUUACCAUUGAAGUUAGUUGAAUAUAAAGUUAGGUGAACUUUACCAUUGUUAAAUUGGUAAAUGAAGACUCUUAGAUUUGAUACUAACAUGUACAUCAUGACUUCAUUGAAUCUCUCACAAGGAAAUUUUAGUUUGAAAGACUUCAUCUUUUAAACAUGUGGCACAUAUUAAAGUGAGACCAAGUCUUCCCUAUAAUUUGUAUCUAUCACAAUUUCUUUCCUCAUAAAUAGCCUUUUUGAAUAGAAUUAAUAUAGACUUUAGCAUGCAUGAUGGGCCCUAUCAAACUAUUAGUCAAGAUAAUUUGUAGGUAAGAACGAUGGACCAACUAUAUUAAAUACUCUUCAUCUAUUUGCAUAUCAAGAGCAACUUAAUAUUGUCUUUCUUUUGUACUUCAUGUUUGAACUUUCAAUGGAGAGUUUGUCAUCUAAAUAUUUGAUGUGGGUUUUUAUACUACUCUUGGUUCAAAUAUGUGGAUGCAAAGGUUGCAUCGAAGAAGAGAAGAUGGGUUUGCUUGAAUUCAAGGCUUUUCUUAAAUUGAAUAAUGAGCAUGCAGAUUUUCUUCUCCCUUCAUGGAUAGAUAACAACACUAGUGAAUGUUGUAAUUGGGAGCGGGUUAUUUGCAAUCCCACCACAGGUCGAGUUAAGAAGCUUUUCUUCAAUGAUAUAACGCGACAACACUUGGAAGACAAUUGGUACUAUUACGAAAAUGUCAAAUUCUGGUUACUAAAUGUCUCCUUAUUCCUUCCUUUUGAAGAACUUCACCAUCUAAACUUGUCUGCAAACUCAUUUGAUGGGUUUAUUGAGAAUGAAGGUAUGUUACCUCUCACCUUUAAAUUUUCUUUUCACUUAUACUCCAAACAUUCUAAAGGAACUACUAGCAUAUGUUCUUAAAAGUGUUCAGGUGGAGAACAAAUGGUCACUAGUAACUAUUGAAUUUAAUAUAAGAACAAUUACUAAUUAUUAAAAUUUAUAAUGUAAAUUAACAUUUAAACAGAACAAUAAAAAAAUUAUUAUUUUAGAAAACUAUAGAUUACAUUAGCCUUAUAUAUAUAAGCAUACUUGUUAUUUAUGUCAUCAUUUCACACUCAACCCAAUAAGUGGGAUUCAACUAAGAGUGAGCAAUUUCACAAUUAUUAAUUAACAGGAACACUUAGGCUCCCAUAUCCUUAUCAUUUUUGCUGAAUUGUCUUUCCUUAUCUUCCAUUCCUAAAAAGCUUGAUUUCUAUAUUCCAAAUUGAUAGAGAUUGGUUAAAGAAAGGUGAUCACAAAAUUUGACUAUUGCUUUCAAAUGAGGAAUCACCAUCUUCAAAAUUUCACAUUUACAAAAAAAAUAAAUAAAAUAAAUAAAUAAAUAAAACUAGCCUCGGGUAAGGUCCAAGCCUUAUUGUUUUAAGCUGAUGUCAGAUUGGUUUAAUAAUGAACAGAGUAAAUCCUAACCCAUGACCAUCUACGCAUUUCCAAAUUCCACCCAUCCACAACCCAUUAAUAUGACAUUUUCAGGGACAAAAUUUAAUCAAUUAAACCUAUUAGAUGGAUUCUCCAUACAAUGUUAAAAUGAAUAUAAAAACUUUAAUUCAAAAAAUAAUUUCCUUUAUUUAGUUAGGAUUCAAAUUAUAGGGGCACAAAACAUGAAAAUUUUCAUGUUUAAAAUUCACAAAGAUCACAAAAGCUCUUUGAAGCUCUAUGGACUUUUUUAUUUCUAACAUUUAAACACAAAAAUCACCAAAUUUAAUUAGAGAUUUGGAUGCAUAUUCUUAUAUUAAAGACAUGUAAGCUUACAUAUUUAAAUAUGAAGAUCUCAACUUGUAAUUACAUGCUUCUAAUUAAAGUUAUAUUACUCUAUUUUACAGGAUUUAAAG